rnacentral:lncRNA from 1 species
UUUUUUUUUUCCUCUCCUUUUCCUUAUGGGAAAUUGUCAGAGUUCAGUGAUGUUCCAUAAACUGAAGGAGAAGGUAUGUGCAUGGCCGAUAACAGGGACGAAGACGAAAGGUGUUGAUGAGAGCAAGACGAAGAUCAAAGGGACUGUGGUGUUGAUGAAAAAGAAUGUGCUGGACUUCAAUGAUAUGAAAGCUUCAUUUCUUGAUCGGCUUCACGAGCUCUUAGGCAAAGGUGUUUCGAUGCAGCUUAUCAGUGCAGUAAAUGCAGACCCAGGUGUGCCUUUUUGUCCCAUUAAAAUUUUAUUGAAUUAUCUAAGUGAGUACUGUAAAUGAAGGGGAAGCGAGCAGACAGUCAUGGCGAAUGCAUAUGUAAAGACAGAUGAAUUUUGAAUCAAACACCAUAAACGCGUCAUUCUUGUACUGUUCAUCAAAUGGAAAAAAACUCAUGUGAAUCAUGUGAUUGAUGAUACUUAAAAUGGAAAUCUUUAUUAAUCCUCUGUUCUUGUUUUGCAGAAUAAGCAUAAUUUGAGUACCGUGAUCUUUUAUGCAUUUUUCAUUUUUCUUUCUUCCUUUUUGUUCCCUCUCAUUAUUUCUCUAAUCCUGGCAAGUAGAUGAAGUAACAGUACAGUCUUUAUAGUUGUUAAAGACAGUUUUCACGUUGGUUCUUCAAGUCUUGUAGAUUCAAUGCAAUAGUAAAAAAUAUACUCAGGUUUAUGCCACUUUGGUUGAAGUUUUGUAUCUUUUAUGUGUUUAGCUAAUGAAUUGCGGGGAAGGCUUGGGAAGGUAGCAUAUUUGGAGAAAUGGAUUACGACCAUAACUCCAUUAACGGCCGUAGAGACCUUAUUUACCAUUACAUUUGACUGGGAUGAAGCCAUGGGUGUUCCUGGAGCUUUCAUCAUCAGAAAUCAUCACCAUAGCCAAUUUUACCUCAAGACAGUUACUUUAGAAGAUGUUCCAGGCCAUGGCCGGAUACAUUUUGUUUGCAAUUCCUGGGUCUACCCAACACAUCGUUACAAGUAUGAUCGUGUAUUCUUCUCAAACAAGGUAAAAUAACUAUCCUUCACUAACAUGAAAGAUUUCAAGAGAAAGUUUCCCUCUUUGUCUAUCUUGAUCGUAUUCUUUUGGUAGUCCACUGCUUUGAUUAUCCAGAGGCAAGAAUUAUUCUUUUUGUUUAAUUCUAAAGAGAUUUCUUAAAUGAAGGCUUAGGCCCCAUUUAUUACUUUAUGACUCAGUAUCAGCAUCAUUCUGACCCACAUAGAUAGAGGUUUCUAUCAUGAUUGUUACCUUUUAAUAAUUAUUAGAAGCUUUUCAUAUUACUUCCUUUUUCAUGAUAAAAUCAUACUGUCUAAUUUUUCCAGCCAGAUUAGACAGUCCUUUUUCUUACUUGAUUGAUUUUGGAUAUGAAUUUUCAAAUCAGAACUUUUUACUGUAAGGCUGAGUAACAAAAGUGGUCUCCAAUUUCAAUUUCAAGUCAGAUAGAAAUGAGCUUCAAGUGUCUUAAGGUGUUUUAUUUGUUCACAGCAUGAUGUAAACUUUAAUCUAAUGGAUCAGAAUAAUUAUCUUUCUUUUACUGUCGAAAUAGAACUACAAUGUACUAAUAUAAAACUACAUGAUUUAUGUUAGACUUACCUCCCCUGCCAAACACCAGAGCCCUUGCGGAAAUAUAGAAGAGAAGAACUUGUAAAUCUCCGCGGAAAUGGAAAGGGUGAGCUCAAAGAGUGGGAUAGAGUAUAUGACUAUGCUUUCUACAACGAUCUGGGAAAUCCAGACAAAGGUCCAGAAUAUGCACGCCCUGUUCUUGGUGGAUCACAGGAGUAUCCGUAUCCGCGAAGAGGAAGAACUGGCCGGAAACCAACAAAAACAGGUAGAGAACUGAAUUCAGAGUGUUCAGUUACUUAUUUGAAUGGAACAAAAAAUAUUGAAUACAAACAAUGGCAAGUUUCAAUCAGUAUAUCAGAGCGGUUCAUUUUGUUUCACUUACAAUCAGUAAAUUUCAGCUUUCUCAUUGAAACAGAUCCCAAUUCUGAGAGAAGACUGCCACUUAUAAGCCUAGACAUUUAUGUUCCCAGAGAUGAACGGUUUGGCCACUUGAAGUUUUCAGAUUUUCUUGCCUAUGCCCUGAAAUCGCUGGUUCAGAUAUUGCUCCCAGAAAUCACUUCUUUAUGUGACAAAACUAUAAAUGAAUUUGACUCUUUCGACGAUGUACUUAAUCUCUAUGAAGGAGGUAUCAAACUACCAAAUAGUCAAACUGUCAGUAAGAUAAGGGAUCGCAUCCCGUGGGAGAUGCUCAAGGAACUUGUUCGUAAUGAUGGUGAACGAUUCUUAAAAUUCCCAAUGCCUGAUGUGAUCAAAGGUACAAUCUAUUAUUGUUUUUGUACUAUUUUCCUCAUAGCUUAAACUUGUCAUUUAGUAAACUUUACUACAUAUUCAUGAGGCCUUAAUGAUUCAUUGCAGAGGAUAGGUCUGCUUGGAGGACAGAUGAAGAAUUUGCAAGAGAAAUGCUAGCUGGAGUCAAUCCAGUUAUCAUCAGUCGCCUCCAAGUAAUUUAACUCCCACCAGAUUGACUGACAAUACAUUGCAUGGUUUGUCAUUGCAAUUAUAUAAUGAAAUCUUAAUGCAGGAAUUCCCCCCAGCCAGCAACCUAGACCCUAAAGUAUAUGGAAAUCAGCACAGUUCAAUUACAAGAGCAGACAUAGAAAGGAACAUGAAUGAACUGACCAUAGACGAAGUACUAUUUCAUGCUUAAUAUACUUCAUUUCUAUUUCUGCAAUACCAAAAAAAAAAAAAAAAUCACAUCCAAAAUUCACGAAGAUUUUUCUCUGCAUUAUUACUUUGUAUUAUUUUCUUAUGCCAUGUUUUAUUUUGCACAGGCAAUAGAAAACAAAAAGCUGUUUACAUUAGACCAUCACGAUGCUUUAAUGCCAUACCUGAGGCGGAUAAACUCCACUAACACAAAGACUUAUGCCAGCCGAACACUCCUCUUAUUGCAAAACGAUGGUACAUUAAAGCCGUUAGCGAUUGAGUUGAGCUUGCCUCACCCACAAGGAGACCAUCAUGGUGCUGUCAGCAAAGUAUUCACUCCAGCCGAAAAUGGUGUUGAGGGUUCAGUGUGGCAGCUGGCCAAAGCUUAUGCUGCAGUGAAUGAUUCUGGCUACCACCAGCUCGUUAGCCACUGGUGUGAUAUCAAAAAAGAAAACAUUGGCUGGCAGUUGAAUUUUGAAGCUUAAAUUUAACAGAUUAAUACUCAUGCUUCUGAACAAUGUUUGCAGGUUGGACACCCAUGCUGUGAUAGAACCAUUUGUGAUUGCAACUAAUAGACAGUUGAGUGUGCUCCAUCCAAUUUACAAGCUUUUGCAUCCGCACUUCCGGGAUACAAUGAAUAUAAAUGCCUUGGCUCGGCAGAUACUUAUUAAUGCCGGUGGUGUACUUGAAAAUACAGUCUUUCCAGCAAAGUAUGCCAUGGAAAUGUCUGCUGUCAUUUACAAGAACUGGGUUUUCACGGAGCAGGCACUCCCCGCUGAUCUUCUCAAGAGGUAAGCAACAAAACCUUGAGUGUGAGAUAGGUACUAUAACUUUAUCAUUUUUGAAAAUGGAUGCAUGAUUCACUUUGUUUCAGAGGAGUGGCAGAGCCAGACGCAAGCCAACCUCAUGGAAUAAAGCUGCUGAUCGAGGAUUACCCUUAUGCUGUGGAUGGGCUAGAAAUCUGGGCUGCAAUUGAAACAUGGGUCAAAGAAUAUUGCUCUUUCUACUACCCCAGAGACCACUUGAUCCAAGGUGACAAUGAGCUCCAGUCAUGGUGGGAAGAACUGCGAAAUGUUGGCCACGGUGACAAGAGAGAUGAACCAUGGUGGCCUGAGAUGCAGACACGGGCUGAGCUUGUACAAACUUGCACUAUCAUCAUAUGGGUAGCGUCUGCCCUGCAUGCAGCUGUCAACUUUGGACAAUACCCCUAUGCCGGUUACCUCCCCAACAGACCAACCGUAAGUCGCCGGUUCAUGCCCGAACCAGGAACCCCGGAGUAUGCUGAGCUUGAAAAGAACCCUGACUUGGCCUUCCUGAAAACAAUCACAGCCCAGCUCCAAACCCUCCUUGGUGUAUCCCUCAUAGAGAUUUUAUCACGGCACUCAACCGAUGAGGUUUAUCUUGGACAGAGAGACACCCCUGAGUGGACUUUGGAUAAUGAACCAUUAGCAGCAUUUGAAAGAUUUGGAAAUAGACUGUUAGAAAUCGAAAACAGAAUUCUAGAAAUGAACAAUGACAAAAGAUGGAAGAACAGAGUUGGGGCUGUUAAGGUGCCUUACACCUUGCUCUAUCCUAACACCUCAGAUUACUCCAGAGAAGGUGGGCUGACCGGAAAGGGAAUUCCCAACAGUGUCUCAAUCUAGAGCCGAACAUCAAACCUAUGUUUUAGCAUCUCGUGUUUAACUAGGCAAGAUUGGAAACUAUUAGCUUUCAUGUAUUCUCUUUUUUUAUUGAAGGUGUAGUUUUGGUGCAGAUUGUCAAACAGGUAACACAAGUAGCUAUGUACUGUAAAUAUAGUGUGAUUGAUAUGCCUAUUUUUUCAGAAGACAUAGUAUGGUGUGGGGUUUCAAUGUUAUACAUUUAUUGAUUCUACUUCUCUCUUCAAUUUGAUAUGUAGCAAUAACUACAAACUCACUAGCUUGAUAUACCAAAAGCCAAGACCAGCCGAGACCCCAACAUAAACAGUCAAAUGAUCCAUUAGUUAGUUAAUAUUUUUUAUUUCAAAAUUACCUUUAUUAAAAAUAAAAAAUAAUUUAAAAAAUAAAUAUGUUUUCUUCUCUUCUAAACUUUCAAUAGAUUAACUUCUCAUCUCUCAAUUAUUCUUUUCAAUUGAUUCGCAAAUUGAAUUAAAAUUAAUUCUUAAUCAAAUUCUAAAAUGAAAUUAAGUAAAAUCUAGAUUGCCAUAGAAAAUCAAAAUCAAUAUUAUAAAUAACAAUAAAACCCAUCACAUGUUCAUAAAAUUUAAUAAAAUUCACUAUUCAAACCCAUAAUUUUUUGGUGGAGGUGAUAAAAAAAAUAAUGAAGAAAAUAGGUGGUUGGUGGUGGUGGUGAUAAACUUGUUGUUGAUGAAAAUAAACCGUGGGGGUGAUGAUUAGGCUAGAGAGGGGGAAGGGGGGAGAGAGAGAGAGGAAGAGAGGGAACAAAAAUAAAAUAAGUAUAAUUAUAUUUUAUUUUUAAUAAAGAUGAUUUUGAAAAAAAAAAGAAAAUUUAAAAAUAAGAGAGUAACGAGAUAAUUUAAGAGGUUAAAUGACAUGACUUAUAUUUUUGGUGUGGGCGAUAAUGGAGGACCCAUAAGGUAAAAAUUGAGAAGAAGCUGAGGUGUAGGUAAGACCAGGACCAAGUAUCAAAAUGAGGGAAUCUAAUUGGUUAAAGGCUUAAAAGCCAUAUCACCUUAUCCAGUACCCAGCACAAACACCACCCAUAUGUUUUUGAUCCGCACCCGAAUUACACAACUCAUUACAACGAUCAAUAAUAAUGGCCAUGGCCGCAACAACUCAAGCCUCUCUCUUCGCACCGGCCAACUUCUCCACCACCAAAUCCUCUGCGCCGUGGAAGCAAUCAUCAUCAUUUUCAGUAAGGCCACUAAAACAUAAUGCCCCACGUACCAACACCAUCAAGGCCAUGGCUGAGGGAAAAACAGAGACACCCACAAAAGAGGCUCCGGUGGGCUUCACCCCACCAGAACUGGACCCCAACACCCCAUCUCCGAUCUUCGGAGGCAGCACCGGCGGGCUGCUGCGGAAGGCUCAGGUGGAAGAGUUUUAUGUGAUCACAUGGGAGUCUCCUAAGGAGCAAAUAUUUGAAAUGCCCACUGGGGGUGCGGCCAUUAUGAGAGAAGGUCCGAAUUUGCUGAAGCUGGCUAGGAAAGAGCAGUGCUUGGCUCUGGGGACAAGGCUGAGGUCCAAGUACAAGAUUAAGUACCAGUUUUACCGAGUGUUUCCCAAUGGAGAGGUUCAGUAUUUGCAUCCCAAGGAUGGUGUUUAUCCUGAGAAAGUGAACCCCGGAAGGGAAGGAGUUGGGCAGAAUUACAGGUCUAUUGGUAAGAAUGUGAGUCCUAUUGAGGUCAAGUUUACAGGGAAGCAAGUGUAUGAUCUGUAAAUUUAAAUUGUAAGCUGCUAAGCUGACGGGCCUCGGAUGAUCUGUUGAUUAAUUGUUGUGAUCAUUUACUUGUUUGUAUUCGUGUUUUCUUUUCCUUAAAAAUAUUGUAUGAAAGCAAGACUUGAUCGCUGAAACUAUUUUAUACAUGCAAUAUCUCUUUUUAGUUUAGUUGAGAAUUUGUACUCUGUACUGUGUAAGACAAUUAGUUAUCUUGUGAUUUUGUCUCCUCAAUUGAACACAUUGCGCCAAAUAUUUUCUGUUAAAUAUUAGGAACAAAGUUUGAUGGAAUCUGUAUAUGCUAUUAAUGCAGAUUGUAAAAGUGUGCACAAAAUGAAUCUCAAAUUUUGGUUCAUCAAAUGAAAGCUUUGGUGAUGCUUGUAAUUAUGAUUUUGUGUUACAAAGAGUCUUAUUUUAAUAGUUCAAAGACGGCAAUCAGGGCAUUAGAUGGUCUUCAAAUGCCAAUCGAUGCAUAGAUAUGGCCUCCGGCUUUGCUAUAAUCACGAGCCGGACUAGCACCUCCCAAGUACCUCUUGAAACCCCUUCUCUGCUCCUACUCCAUUAAAAGUAAUUUAAAAAUUAUAAAAUUCUUAUAACACCCAUUUUAGUUUUAAAAAAAUUACAUUAAUUUUUUUUUUACCGAAUAAAUCCCUUAAACAUUUACACACCCCUCCCCAUUUUUCUUCAUAUUUCGCACUUUUUCUCCCUCAUUUGCUUUUAUUUCCAUCUCUCUCUCUCUCUCUCUUUGUAAUCAUAACAAUCAUAAUUAUGAAAAGAAAAUUAAGAUUUGGUGAAAAUGUAGUUACUUGGUAUUCUUGAUUUUUUUUUUUUAACAAAGUUGAAAAUUAAAGUAAAGCUUCAUCAAUGACGACACUUACCGUAGCAGCAAAAUCAAAGAUAUUAAAAUAAGAAUUUUGCUGGAUUUUGAACAUGUCUUAUUGUCAUUAUAUUCCCUAUGCUUAGCAAUAAUUUUAAUGUUCUAUUUUCAGAUGAAGAAGAGAGUUUGAAAUGAUAAAGAGGUUCAAUGAGAAUAAAACCUCCCUUUUUUUCCCCUUGACAUUAAUAUAAUAACCGUAGAGCCUACAAACUUGAAGAUAUUUCAAUUGUCAAACAAGGGAGUUUGAAUAACGAAGGGGUUCAGUGAAAAUUAAACUUGUCAUUUUGUGUUAUGCAAACAGUGAACCUGCAAAUAUUUGACUGGGAUAUUAAUAAGAUAUCAGGGACAUGGCCUCUGCUCUUGUAUAGCUGUGUCAAAUGGGCCGGAUAUAGUAUUGGUUCGGCCCAAAACAAUUAGACCAAAUAAGAAGAUCUAAGUAUCUAACAGGAUCACACAUCAAUAUAAUUAGGAUCCCUCUAAGUUACAUUGCCAUUUGAGCAGCUGUUUGCUUUUUUUUUUUUUCUUCUCUUGAUGGAAUGGCCAGUUGUUUGUUGAUCAUGAAAAAUUUAGAGAAAUCACUGUAACACAUGAUUAUAUCAAAUCAAAGAUCAAUUCUUCAAUUAUUUUAUUGUUAAUUUAUGAUUAAUGAUGUGAUAGAGUCAGAAUCCUUUCCCAAAGAGAGCUAAGCAGAAGGUAAUUAAAUAUUAAUUUUGAUUUAAAAUUUUAAAGGCGGCUGCUGCUGCUGCGUUGGAGCAAUUCCAACGUAGAACAGCCAUCAGAACCGUUGGAUGCAUGUAAUUAAAUUUAAAAUAAUUAUAUUUAACAGUUAUGAAGAUUAUUUUAUGUUAGAGCAUCUCUAAUGGAGCAAUCUAAUUUUAAAUGGUUGAAAAAGCCAUCAGUUAAACAACCAUAGAUGGGGAAUCAAUGAAUGUGUUUUUCGUGAACGGUGACAUAAUGUCUUUAAUAUUUAAUAUGAGAGAGUCUUAUGUUACAUUGAAUAUACCAUAUACAACCCAUAAAAACCACACAAAUUAUAAGACCCAUAUAAUUAUGUGAUUCUUAUUAAUUAUAUACGGUACAUUCAAUGUAAGGUAGCAAAAUCUUUAAUACGAAGGUGAAAAGUUGAUGGUACCAAUAUUUCUGAAUCUGAUCCCCUUUUGGGAACACCAGAUUAAAGAUGGGCUUUAAUGGCCUGCUCUAUUGAACGAACAAAAUUUGUGGAGCUGUCUCAUCAACUCCCGUACUGAGCACAGGGGUAGUUUUAGCAUUAAAGUAAAUUAAGCCGCUGUUCAGGACCUCAAAAUUUUAAAAUAUCUUAAUAUUUCACAUUUAUUUAAUUAAUAUACUAAUGAAUAAUUAUUUUUUAGAUUUUAAAGAUGUUAUUUAAGUUACGUAUUAAAAAAAAUAAGUUUUAAAUGCCUCACUAUUAUUGCUCCCAUUCAUAAUUAUUCAAAAAUAAAAAUUUAUUUUCUUUAAAAAAUUUUAUAUUUUAAUAAUGUUCACUUAAAAUAAUAUUUAUUUUUGGGAUAAUUUCGUCCUGCCCCCAAAUGUUUUAACAUUUUCCACCGCAUCCCCAAAUAUUUCAACAAUACUCACUCCACACCCAAAUCCGUUAUUUUGACCGUUUAUUCUAACGGUCAAAGGGUAAAUUUGAAAGUUCAUACUCUAAAUAUUAUUUGAUGAUGAUAAAUUAAAUUUAUUUGAUAAGUUAAUUGAUGAGAUUAUUAUUAAUUACCUUUAAAUAAAAUUUUUUAAUGUAAAUAUUAAUUAUUAAAUUAACAUUUUAUCUCAUUUAAUUCUUCUCUAAUUCAAGAUAAGGGGUAUUUCGGACAUUUAAUUAAAUUUCAAAUAGCUCUGUUAAACAUAACGGUCAAUUUAACGGAAUUGAGUGUGGAGUGAGCAUUGUCAAAACAUUUGGGUGCGCGGUAGAAAAUGUCGACACAUUUGGGGGUUGGGUGGAAAUAACCCUUUAUUUUUUAAUAAAAAUUUCAUAUUUGAUGACAUGCACAUAAAUAGAAUUAAUUGUUUUACUAGCUAAUUCUUUAUUGUGUUAAUCUUUCAAAGUAUUAAAAGAUUACAUACUUUCACUUUAAACAGAAUCCUCUAUUAAAAUAAUUAACAUUAGAACUGACUUUUAAUAUUCCUUUAAACUAUAUUAAAAACCUCCAAACCAAUAUACAUUGAAUCAACAACAAUUUCAAUUAAAGAAUUUCUUUCUCAGUUUGCUAUAAAGAAAAUUAUUCUCCACGAAUCUACUGCUAUCAUCUGAUCAUCGUAUUCAUCUUAACUAAUCAACUUUCUAUGUACUAUUGUUCUAUCAUUUAUUUCAAAUUACUAUUGUUCUUUUUUUCACAAAUUUAAUUUAUUUUUCUUUUUAAUAUUGACACAUGGCUUGUAUAAUCUUAAAAUAAAAAAUUAUGUUACUUUUAUGUUCCUUCGAGAAUCGAUGUUGUUGAAUGUUCAAAGUCCUAAACAAAAGAAAAAGAAAAUUGUCUGAGGCCUCAGAUCCCUUAAAGCCGGCCCUAAUUGAGCACUUAGUUGGUGUGGAAGUCUAAUGAUAUUUCAUUAUUUAGUAGAGUAAUAGGUUCUAUAAUAAAAUUCAUAAAUUUUUUUAGGAAAAUUAUCACUUGUAUACCCUUAGUUUACUCUGUUAUCAAACUUACUACAAUAUUUUCAGGGUGUAUCAGUCAUCUACUCUUAAGUUUACAAAAUGUAUCUGUCGUCUACUAAAUCGUUAAUUGCCGUUUAAAUAUGAUGACGUCAUAGGGGUAAUAUGGUCUUUUCAUAUGAUAUAAGUGAUAAUUUAAGAGUAUACAAAUGAUAAUAAGAGAAUUUAAGGGUAUACAAAUGAUAAUUUUCUUUUACUUUAAUUUAAGUUUCAAGGGUAAAAUCGUCAAUUCACUAUAAUUAAGUUAAGUUUCAAACUGUAACUAAUGGUUUAGUGGUCGACAAAUAACUUUUGUCAAUUUAGGGUGAACAAUUGAUACAUUAUUAAAGUGUUGUAGCAUUUUUGAUAAUAAAGUAAAUAUAAAGUAUAUAAAUGGUAAUUUUUUAUUUUUUUAAUAUAAAUAUAAUAGAUUAUACUUAAUAACUCACCAAUAAUUCGUCACUAAGAUUCAUUAUUUUGUUAUAUAACAUAAUAUUGUUAGGCUGUUCUACGUCAAGCUGAUGGGACAAUCUUCAACAAAUUAUUGAUAAAAAACGAUGCAUCAUAAUCAUGCUAAAAACAUUUUGCAAUUUCAAACAGCGAUGCUGUCACAAUCAUAUGGGCGAAGCUUGUCGAUUAAAGCAAGACCAUAGUUUGGUGUUUUGUGACAACGAUUGCAAUAUUAUUCAAUACACGUAGCAAAGUUACAUAAUUUGAGAGCAUAUACAUUUUAUUUUCAAAUAUGGACAGCACGUUAACAUUCAUGAUACAUAUCAACAGUUGUAGAAACUGAUCAACAUGAUAUCUACACAGUGGGGCCCUAACCGAAACACGAACGGUUCUGAUCUAGGCUCCCACUGGCGUGGUAGUGAGAAUGGAUUCCAAUUCACUUCUGGUGCGGCUGAUCCUUUGAUCGCCAUCGUCCGAUUGGCUGACCCAUAUCUCUGGAACCACUUGAGGUAAGUUAUUGACAUUCUCUAAUGCAUAAUCCGCUUCACCGACGUUCACCGUCUUCCCAACCUUCAUAAAUAUAAAUAAAAGUUAAAUGAUUUUCCUUAGAAAAAAAAGUCGAAAAUUUGUUCCCAAAAAAAAAAAAAAAAAAGAAAGCAAGGAGAAUUACCAAAACGGUGCGUAGUCCUAAAGCCUUGCCGGCGGUGACAUUUUUAAUGUUGUCGUCAAGAAACAACUGCCAAAUAAAACGCGUUUUAGCGGAAUAAUUAAUCAUUAAAAAAUUUAAAAAAAUCAAAAUAAAAGAUGAGAAAUGAUGAUUGUCUUACGGCGUGACGAGGAUCAACAUUAGCAACAUGGAGGGCGAGUUUCAUGGCGUCCAUUGAAGGCUUCAAAAGGACGGGGAAUUCAUCGGGACGAGUUGCUUUCGAGAGAUUCGGGUUCAUUGUCUCGAAACAGAUUAUUUGAUCGAAACAAUCUGCUAUUUCUAGUCGUUUCAGACAUGUAAUUGCAUGGUUCCUGUCCGAAUUGGUGAAAAUCUGAAGAAAGUUGAAAAAAAAAAAUGAAAUUAGCAACUUCAUUAAUUAAUUGAUUUAUUAAAGAUUAUUCUGGAAAUACGGCUCAUAAUAAUUAUGACUAUCAUAUCGUUGUUGAUGACGUACAAUCUUUCUCUGGGUGAUGCUGCAUAAGAGGUUGCGUAGUUGAGGAUCUGGUUUGAUCAAAUCAUACGGCAAUCUUCCGUGCACGAAACUGAUGAUCAAAAGGGGGAAAAAUUUGGAUAAAAAAACAAAUUAAUUAAAAUUUUACUUUUUUUUUAAAAAAAAUACGUAAACUGAAUUAUGAUUUUUGCUGACCCGUGGUAAUCAUCGGCACCAAUAUCAUAGCCUAGAGCCUGCAAAAAUUGGAAAAAGAAAUAAUAAGUUAAAAAUGGGAGGAAAAAAAAAAGAUAAAUGUUAAGAAAGUUGAAGCAUUUUAGAAGAAUUAAUUACUCGCAAGCCAGCGAGGGUGCUGCCGUAAGCUUUGAAAAGCUCAACUCUGAGACUUGAAGCUUUGGUUUCUGAGAAUCCGCAUUUCUCAAUAAGAAAUCCUUAAUUUUUUAAAACAAAAAAAAAAAUCAAUCAGUGAUUAAUCCUUUAAGAGAAGCUUAAGGAAGCUUAGAAAUUCGUUUUUCUUAAAAAAAAAAAAGAAAACCUUCAAUAUUUCUCUUGACAGCUUCAGCUAUUCCAGUUUCUGAAGGGUACAAAGUGUCAUCCAAAUCUGUUUGAAAGGAAGCCAAUUUAAGAAUUGAAAUUUUUUAAUAAAAAUGAAAUUGGAAAAUAAUUAAAAAAAAAAUGUGUACCAAAAACGAGGCAGUUGAAGGGAGAAUCCAUGGCUUCGCUUGAACCGAAGAAAUGAAGUAAAUUAAUGAUUAUAACGAGGAAGCAAAUUUAAUUAAUAUCCAGCAAACAGCAGGCGAGGAAGGGGCCUCUGAGAGGGGAAGCUGAAGCGAGAGGAUUUUAUAGGCAUAGAGAUUCCAGAUAAAAUAAAAGACAGAAAGCUACGUUUGCUGACUCGGAGUUCAAAUCUCAUGCGUUCGAAAGCCGAGUUAGACAAAGGCCCACACGCCUGUCGUAAAUUAAAAGAAGAUUCGAUUAGUUUUACUCAAAUGCCCCUGUUUCAAAGGGAGGUGCUUUGGCUGUUCGGCUACCUGCCUUACUUUUGGAGUCUGCCACAGCGUGCUAUGCAGCCAAUCAGAUUACGGCUUUGUAUAAAAAAAAAAGAUUCCGAGGGAUAAUGUUGACAAAUCAUCAUGUGCCUACCUGUUGGCACUUGGCACAUGGCGUUUACCGAAAAGCUGAGGGCUAAUUUACAAAUGGAUAACGUGCGGGUAUCUUGGUAAUUUGGCAGUUGCAGAAUAUGAAACUUGGAUAAUUUACAAAAUGGAAACCACAACGAAUUAAGGCAUGUGGAUUGCAUGGUAAAUUUCAUUCAAAAUUCUUCUUAAUAUUCUCUAAUUAUCUUUAUUGAUUCCCAAAUCAAAAAAAUAAUUAAUCGGUUGAUUGAAUGAAAAGAUUUCAACUAUUGACAAAUUGACAACUAGGAAUAGGCAGAAAAUUCUCACGAUUACAGGAGCCCUGGGAGCAUGUUAUGUUAGGGUUGGAUAUCGGGUUUUAUUUAUUUUCAUUUUAUUAAAAAAUUGGAUAGGGUAUAACUUUUAAUACCGGUUGAUUGGGGGCUCCGCUUAGGACUCGUACUCGCUCGCUAAACCUGUUUAACUAUUAACUAUUUUAUUUAUUUAAUGUUUUAAAUGUUAAAAUUAAAAGCUAAAUCAAAUAAAUAUUAUAAUAAAAAGUCAAAACAGUAAAAUGCAAACAUUAGCACUGAGCAGCUUGGUAAUAAGAAAAACCAUAUAAUAUGAUAUUGUCAUAUAUAUUUACUUGGAGAUUUUAGUAAUUUAAUGGACUAGACGUUUACUAAACCAUUUAAAAUCUUGACGUAAUCAUAAACAAAUGACAAUAAAACAAAUGUUCAAAUAAGAUCAAUUGAAAGGAGUGAAAGAUGGAUAAGAAAAAUGUUCAACAAUUUUGUUUUCAAUUCAAAUAUUUAGUAAUACACAGAUUAAAAUAAAACUUGACAAUCAUCAAAUUAUAAUAGAUAUUUACCCAAAAUUAAAUUUUUUAAAAAAUUAUUUAGAAUAAAGUGAUAUAUGUUCAUCUAGUGAUAUAUAUAUAUAUGUUAAAAAUAAAAGAGGAUAUAGGGAAAGAGGACAUGUAUCUCUAAUUUUUAUUGGGAAUCCGACCCAUACACAUUCAAGCCCACAACAGGGUAAGGACUAAUGACGAAGAUAUUUUCUACUAAAUAGGUAAGGGUACUAGUAUUAGUUAGGGAUGGCAAUGGGCACCGCCCGCAGCGGGUUUUAAUUUUUUUAAAAAAACUCACCCACAGCGGGUUUUAACAAUUACCAAACCCGCAAUGGUACCCGGCGGAUUUUUUGCGAGUUUCCGUAUUUAAAAUCACAAAUGUUUAAUAUAUAAAUUUAUUAUAAUAAUCUCAAAUUCCAUAUAACAUACUCAAUUUUAUAUUUAAACAACAUAAAUGAAAAAUUAAAAUUUCUACAUCAAUCCAACACAAAUUCUCAAAUUUAAGUAUAAAUUACACAAAUCCAUUUAAAAAACACAAACUAGUAUCUAAAAAUAACAAUUACAUUUCACAUUAUCAUUUAAAACAAGCUUUAAGAGAAGAUAUUUAUUUCAUUCACCACUGUUGAGUAUUAGAAAAUGUAUAUUUAUAAAGGAGAAAAUCGUCAUUUUACACUUCAAGUUUUACUAACACCCUUACUUUUAUGUAUUUAAACUUCUUGUCAUUUAAUUAUGUGUGUUUGAACUCAGGACGGUCAUUCACAUGUACGGUACUGUCUACGUUACUGUUCACGACACUGUUCACAUGGAUGGAUCGAUGAUGUGGCAUUGAUCGAUGAUGUGGCAUUGACUGAUGAGGUGUCACGAUCCUGUUGGACUAAAAUUCUUAUGCACUGUUGAUCGAUGACGUGGCAGCAUAUCAGUGGACCAAAAAUCUCGCGUACGGUACAUGCAUUACACAUGAUUAUUUUCAACCAAACUGCGUCACUGUUCAAGCCGAGUCAAACCGUGUUACUGUUCAAACCGCGUGGUCAAACCGCGUACUGUUGACUAGUGACGUGGCAGAAUUCUGAGUGUCCAAACUAUUUUUAAUCUGAUGACCAUGAUUUAAUCAAUGUAUCUAUAAAAAAGGGUCUCUACCCCCCAAAUUUGAUAUCUCUGGAUUCAUUUUUAGACUCCAUUUUCUGUAAUUCCUUCUCCAUCUUGUAUUUUCUACGUAUUUUAAUAAAUUCUCAUUUUGCCCCUAGUUCAAUUAUGAAUAGCUAAUUUUCUUUCAAGCUUGGGUUGAAGAUGAAGUCUCAACAUGUGUCAUGGGCUUUAUUUGGUAAAUUUAUUUUCUCUUCCCCUAUAGUUUUUGUGGAUGUUUCGACUUCUCGUCGACAAAUAAUAAUAAGCUUGUCUAGAUACCACCCUGGUUUCACCGGCUCCAUAGUACAAGGUUAUUAUUAUUUGGCACGAUAAGCCCUUAGCACCAUAUUGAUUAGAGUGUGGUUCAUGAGAUGUGGAUUCCCCCCUCAUGAUUUAAUUGGUAUUAAGAAAGAAUAUUUAGCCCAUGGUGCAUGUUGAUACGGAUCCAUAUACCAAAGUACGUUAUUUUAAUAGAAUUCUCUUUAAUUUAUUCUCGCCAUUUGAAUUCUAAUUUUAGGAUAAUCUAAGUCACUUUCACCAUAAAUCCAACUACCCUCGUACAAAAUUAAUUCUACAUAUAAUUAAAAUUCACCUCCUCGUGGGAUCGACACUCGUCACCAUUAAUCUAUUCUACAAUAGAUUCGUGCACUUGCGAGUUCAAUAAAAUUUGCACAACAACCACCAUAAGCACCCAUCCAACACAAUGCCUAUAAUAAUAAUUAAGAUUAAUAUUUUCAAAUACUAAUUCGAAGGGAAAUGCCUUUAGUUUUCUUUAGGUUAUGACUUUAAAAUGGGAGAUGGGCCACAUACACACAUACACAACUUUGAGCCUUUGGCUAUUUGGCUAUUUGGUAAUUUGAAUAAUGACAUCUUUAUACAUUUUUAGAUUAAAAUUAAAUUAAAAAUAUUUGGAAAAAAUAUUGCGGGUUUGGUGGAUAUCCAUGCGGGUAUUCAUCGGAUAUAAGGUUAAUACCAAACCCAUCGGCAUCCAUGUGCGGGUUUUAAUUUAUAAUACUAAACCCGCCCGCAACGGGUAAAAUUACCCACAACAGGCGAGUUUUGGCGGGUGGGUUUGUGGGUACAAUUACUACCCCUAGUAUUAGCGUUCUCGCACAAUACCCAACUUAUUGCCAUCCUUACUAACAACAAAUGGGCAAUUCUAACAUGUAGGGGUGGAUAAUUCGAGUGGUUCAAGGAAUAACUUGAAAAUUGUCCUGCUCUUAUACCAUUCAAUCUGGGUGUGAUUGGUUUGGUUCGUCAAUUUCCUUUAUUAUUUUUCUUAAUUUUGGUUAUUGAUCAAUUCAAAUUUUUUUGAAUUGAUCUAUAACUUAUCAAUAAACUGAAGUACCAAACCGACCUGAAUUGAUUUGAUUUCACUCAAGCAUUUUGCUAGUUAUGUCAUGACAACACCAACUAAGACCUUCCUCUACGAAGGAAAUGAGUUGGAUGGACUCAUAAACACUGAUUUUCCAACAAUAAUUGAUAGAAGGCAGCUGCUACAUUAGAGAUGCUCCAAUGUAGAGCAGCCUUCAGAACCGUUGAAUGUAUGCAGCUGAAUCUGAAACAAUUGUAAUAAUGUGCAUCCAAUGGCUCUGGGGACUGCUCUACGUUGGAGAUGCUCCAACAUAGCUGAACCCUUGAUAGAAACAUGGGUUAUGCCAUAAUAUUAUGAUUUUAACCUUCUAAUAAAUAUAUUAGUAAAUUGUAGGAAACCUCAUUACUAAGCAUCAAACCUUUAAUUUGUAUUAAUAACGAUCUUAUCAUACUUAUUUUUAAUAAUAUUUUAUCAUGUGUAUAUUUAUAAAGAUAUAUGGUUAAUAAUUAAUUAUCUCUAAAUUCUUCUUCAAUAAUUACCAAUCACAACUUUUUUUUUAAAUUAACCGAAAAAGAUCAUUCUUUAUUUUUUGUCCCUAAACCUUAUCCGUAUUAUUAUUCAUUGAAUUUGAAUGACAAUAGGCACUAAGAGCAUUCAUGACCAGCUAAUUGUGCUUAGAGAGACUCUCAAAAUCCUUUUGAGAUUGCAUUUGAUACUUAAAAAGUGAUUUUUAAAAGUUAAAAGUUAAUUUUGAUAUCUGUAAAUUUUUUUGAAGAACCAUUUUUGAUAAAAUCAUUUAAUUUUAUAGUAGAUUUUGAAAAGUAAAGCCAUAAAUGGGUACUUUUUCAAAAUUUGAUUUUGAAAAUCAAUUUGCACUUACUACAAUUUCAUAUAUAUCCUCACAUAUAUUAUAAAAAUAUAAAAUUAUCCUUAAUUCAAUUAGUAAAUAAAAUUAAGAAAUUUAAAGAGAUUAAUAUUAUCACCGGUAAUAUUGAAAUAACCAAAUUAAUAAAAUUAAAAUAAUUAUUUAGUUAUCAAUUACUACACACACACACACACACACACACACACACACACACACAUAUAUAUAUUUAUAAAUGUGUAAAUAAUUUUAUUAAAUAUUAAAUUCAUUUAAGUCAUUUGUAUUUUGACAUUAGCUUAAUAGUAAGAUUUACCAAACACAUAAGACUGAUUUUAAAACUCACAAUACUUUUGAAGAUAAAUUUUACUAAACUUCUAAUCAAUUCUUUUCAUAGUUAAUGAUUUCUAUAGUAUAAUUAACAAUAAUUAUUUUAAAAGUUACAAUAUUAUCAAUUUAUUUGUUAAUUAAUCUUCUAUCUUCAUUUCAUUUGUCACUGUACAGUGGAUUAUUUAUAAAUUUUAUAUUUUUAAAUAGAUUAGGUAGUUACGUGUUUAUAAAUUGAUUUCUACAUAUUAAACCUAUCUAAUUAAUUUGUUUAUCAAAAAAAAAAAAAAUUGAUUUCUCAUCUAUCGUGGAAUUCUCUUUUUUUGCACCAAAUAACCCGAUUCGUGUGAAGGCAAGAAAAGUUAAUUAAGUCGAUGUCAUCAAGCUAAGUGAUUAGAAUAUAAUUGCAGAAUGACAGAAGGAUUACCAUAUUGAAGCAUUAGCUCGCCCAACUGAAAUGAUUGAUUUUGCAAACGAAACGACGGUGAGGCGUGUAACACGACACGCCCUGUGAUGAUUGUUGGAUGGUGAUGUACUGAUAUGCCGUGGCACCCACCAAGAAGAUGAUACAAUUUAGCCCACUAAGAGAUUCAAUCUCUUUGGCAUUUUGUCGACAUUAUUAUCAAUUUUUUUUUUUAAAAAAGGUUUCAUGAUAAUAAUAUUAUUCACUCAAUAAUUAACAUUAUGAAAGUUGUUUAUUCCACGAUAAUUUUAUUCUUAUUCUUUUGUCCUAAAUACAUGCUGAUUUUAAUGUGAAAAUGCGUCAUAUAAUCCAAUGAAUUUUGAGAAAAAUUCUAUGAUGUUGUAUGAAGCUUUAGAGCGAUAGUAAUGAACUUUUUUUUUUUUAAAUUGUCCAUUAAAUUUAAAGGUGAAGAUUUCCACCCUUUAUUUUAAUGAAUUAAAAAUAACAAGUUAUAUGGAUAAUAUGUAACUUCUUUGUCUUUUUAACUUUUAAAAGGAAAAUUAUUCCUUUAAUUAUUUGUAGCGAUCUUUUUAAAGUUUAUUGUAAAAAAGGAAACACUAAAGUCUGGUGAAGACUCUUUUUUAAAUUAAAAUAUAAUUAUUUUUAACCUUAAAAGAGUAUUUUUAAUUUGUACUCGCAUGUUGUUUUGCAUUGCUAUUCAAAGUUGAGUUCGAAUUGAAAGAAUUGUGAUUUUGCUUUUAUCUAACUAGAGAAAACUAAAAGAGUUGUGAAUUUUAGUGAAAAGAUUUUCUUUUUUGGGCUCUCUAUUUUUUUUAAUUAGUAAAGUAUAAUUCUAAUCUUAUUUUAAAUGACAAAGUUCUUUUUCUCUAAUAAAUUUUAAUAUUUUACUUAACUUUAAAUAACUAUUGUGAACUGUUGGAUCACAUCUAUUAAUAUGACAUAUGACAUUAUCACUUUUAUCUCACAACCAAUCCUGAUGUUUUAGCUCAGCACUAUAGAAAAACCCUGGAUUUUGAAAUGUAGUAGCCUUUAAAAAAAAAAAAAAAAGAAUUUGCUAAAUUUGUUUGAUAGGAGUUGGUUCAUCAGAUGAAUCUUCGCAGUAUAAAUUAUAAAUUUAUAUGCAUGCUUUUUUUUUUUUAAUUAUAUCAAUUCGUUGUGUGUGUGGAAGUAGUUGUCUUUAGAUCGUGAUUGCGCCCAUUGUGCACUUGCCACCUUGGCUUGACUUGGCGCCCGCCUGACAUGCGCGCGCUUUUGACUGGCGCACUUGGCACUCACCCAGCAUGCGCGUGUACCGUUGGCCCCAUGUUUGUUUGGUUUGUUAUCAGGUUGAGUUUUUUUCAUCGUUUCCAAAGCCUUUUCUGUCAAAAUCCUUGAGAGAAGUUUCAGUGGAACCAGCGAUUGGAGUUCUAGUUUUUAUUUUUUUAUUUUUUUAAUUGUGCUUAUUAUCACCAGUGUUCACUACUGCCAUCGCUUCAUCUUUUAACAGACCUUCGGAUAUUGUGUUUGGCUUACGGUGAACUGGAAGGCUUAAGAGUUAUUGGAGAGUUGAAGAAGAAGGGUUCUUAGCUCGUAAGGUUCUAGCUUAGCGUGCGUGUACCUUGCCCCGCACGCUUUUUUUUUCUCAGCUUGAGCUUUUUCUACAGUCACGACCCGCUUGUUCCCUUACUGAAUCGUGCGGCCUUAGGCGCCAAAUUUCACUCUCUUGUCCCUAAGUCAGUCUUAACACACUCAAAACGUUGCUGGAUUCGAAAGUAGGAAAGAGUACUCAAACUCGCUCAAGAUGGAAGGAAAGAAUUAUUAUUGUUCAAAGGAAAGCUUACAAUACCUUGUGUGUUAGAUUUCUUGUAUGUUUUUUAUGUUCUGUUGGCCAAAUGAGACCCUCAUAUUUAUAGAGUAAAAAGAAGUGUCUAGAUGGUGCUCUAUAACUAUCUUCACUACCACUUAACUUAUUAAUUACACAGAAUUAUCUACAAGUUACCACAUACACUACAUGAGCCUCCAUGAUUUUAGAACCUUCAGGGGUGGUGGCAGACACCAAGACUUGUGGAAAUGCUUGGGGCGUUAGUACACUGCAUAUUUUAAAAGACUCCUCUCAAAGUUUUUGAUAAAAGUUUCGUUACAAUGACAAAGAUCAAAGUUUUAAUUUUUUUUUUAAUGUGAUUAUCAUCAUUACUGUCAUCGUUUUAUCUCCUAGCACAUUUUCAAAUAUUGUGUCUGGAUUUUGGCGAAAUGGAAGCCAUUAAGAGUUAUUAGGGCGUUGAAGAAGCUAUGCAAGGUUAUAAAAUUUAGCAAUUGCAUGGGGGGUGAUAGGUAAAUUGACUCGGCUAAGGUUGCUCGAUUUAAGAUGUUGUUCCAAUUAAAAAGUUAUUGUACCCAAUUGUUCUACCAACCUUAUCCCAACUGGAAGAACUAUACUCAGGUAAUUGCUUUGUUGAGUAGGAAGAUCAAGGGCUUAACACUGAGAGAAGUAAUACUAGUCUUGAUGAGUUGAAAAAUUUGUCCCGUUUGACUACUUGGGAAAUACAUACUCUUGAUGCAUGGAUUCUGCUAAGGCUUGGUCUCAAGAAAGCUGGAAGGGUAUAAAAUUGUCGUAGGGGAUAAGUGUAGCAGAUUUGUUGAAUAUAAGACUUAUGUACAGACCGCUGAAAGUCGAGCUGAACUCUUGCAUUUGCUUGGAGGAAUGGCAAUGCAUCAAGAACGUGGAAUACUUGUACUUAGACAAAUUGCAUGGUUUCAUGAAUGUUGUUCAUGAAUUGCACGGGGAGGGUUUUGCGCAGCUGAAGCAUCUCAGGCUACGUCUGGUACCCUGUGCUAGGCUGGAUUGUACUUUAUUACAAAAAAAUUAGGUCCACAAGAGAGUGUACUGCACUGCACAAACUAAUCUAUUUUAUCCACAUUUCUCCUCCUCAUGAAUCAAACCUGCGGGCUCUAUGGGAUCUACACCUUUUUUUUAAAAAUUUUUUAAUUUCGUUAAAUUCUUUUUCAGUUUGGAAUUGAAUUAUUUAUAAUUAACAAUAAGUUAUUUUUAAAAACAUAUACAAAAAGGAAAAGAUAAUCAAUCAGAUAGGAAUUCUAUUUUGAACAAGUGUACUAAAGGUUGAAUUAGAAACACUUUAUAUGUUUGGGCCGUGACACGGGUAUCAGAAUUAUGGACUGGGCCGUUUCAAUGCCUCUGCAUCUGACCCACCCAUGCAUUUCAACUUUACAAGACACCAUUUUUCAUGGCCAAUUUUUCAAGUGCGUAAUUUUAUUUGUGGAAUAUUUAAUAAACUAUGACGUCAUUAAAAAUAAUGAAUUGCAUACAACUCAAUUUUUUUGUGAAAUGAAUGCUAGUUAUAGAGAUAUAAUACUUAUAUUAGAGAUAACACAAACAAGGGUGCAUUCUUUUUUGAUAUAUCGUAGCUUCCAAGAAAACUACACAAGCAAAUUAAACAAAAAAAGAUAAUUAGAAGAUUAGAAACCAUUAACUAAACAAAAAGGGAAAAUAAGAAGAAGGAAAUUAUGUUCCACUUUCAGUCUUUAUAAUGUCUAUUAAUUCCACUUCUCAAGCUCGGUUUUGUUUGAGAGCACUGCCAUAUCCAUAUAUGAACCUUGCUGAUCCCUCUGUGUAAACUUGAGUCUCAUUAUCCAAUCUGUCAGAGUAGCAAUUAGAAUCAUUCGCUAUUCAAAUACUGACAGAAAAACAAUUGAAAUGCACCAAUGUACAAGAAGAAAUUAAAUUAAAGGGUAUUGGGCCGUACGAUUUUCGAACGGCUUUGCUAAGGGUAGAGGAUGAUGAAAUUGUCUUGCCAUCAAGGUAUCUGUUUUCCCCUUUGAUAUUCUUCUUCACUUUCAUGUCCAGCUCUUCAGCACUCAACGUAAAUGGAGAAUCCGAAGCCUGCAGCCACAUUUCAACAAUUCUUAGGUCACCUAGAACUUAUUAAGGCACGACAAGUUAGAGAUAAAGUCGCAUGAGCAACUUUGGGUUCGGUUAAGAGAAAUGUGAAUGUACUGAUUAAAUCGAACUGGUUCAGUUUCUUUUAUUUAUUCAUUUUGGUUUUGGUUUUGGUUCAUAGAUUUGACGACUCGAAUCAAAUCGAAAUCGGUUCGUUAAAAACGUUCCGAAUCGAAUUAGAACCGACUCCCAAACCUGACCCAGUUCGGUUCGGGCGCCAAAUUAAUGUUCACCCCUCCAAUGUCUAUAGUAGCAUGCAGCCAACUUACAAAGUUUCUCAACAAUUAAGUUAAGAUUUUAUUAAUGAUUAAUUGGAGAAGUAAACGAAUUUGGUCUUGAUGAAUCGAGAUUUUCAAAAGAGGAAAGACUAAGGAUAGAGUGCGAGUGUGGGUUAUAUAUAGAUACCAUGAUCCAUCCCCAAGUAUCAGCAAAAGAAGGAAUAUGAGCUGAAUAGGGCACAACAUCUGCACAUAUGAAAAGCAAAAACAUAACAAAUAAGAUUAAUUAAUCGACUUCCAUUAACGUUGAGGUUGGUAAAAAUGAUGAAAAAUUUAAUUGUUUUACAAUAAGGUUAAAUUAUACCCACAUUUGAAAACCUGCCUCAAUGUGUUGUAAAUGCAAGAAAACACUUCUGUAUGGCUGAAAAUUCCAGCUGGCCCUGCCUGCAAAGUCAAAGCAAACAUAAACUGAGUUAAAUUCUUCCUUACGUAUUCUCUGAGCGGAACUAUGUUCAGGCUGCCGAAAAAAAUCAUUAUGGCCCUUCUACUGCACACACGCGCACGCAUGCAUAGUUUGAUUUUAUGUACCUGUGUGACAAAUAUGCCCUCAGGAUUGAGUCUAGGCUUGACGACGAAUUCAUAGAAGGAUUUGGUGUACAGUUUAUAACACGGGCCUCCUUCUAUCGGAUCCGCCAGGUCUCCUAUUAUCACAUCGUAGUUCUCUUUUCUACUCUCUAAUUCAGCCCUGCAAAGCACAGGCAGUAGGUAGUUAAUUAACGAUAAUUCUUAUUCUUAUCGACCAUGGCGAUUGAUAACAAUAAUUGAAAACUAUUUUUAAGUGAAGAUUAAGUAAAACCUGGCAUCAUUGAUGACAAGCUCAAGUCUUGGGUCAGAAAAUGCUUCCUUGUUAACAACCAAGUAUGACUUGCAAAACUCUACCACCUCCUGCUCCAAUGAAAUAUGUUUAAAAGUUUGUAUCGUAUCAGUUAUAGUUGUGUAAUUAACUUUUUGAUUUUUUUUUAUGGGAUAAAAAAAUCAUUUACAUUGUAUAAAUGAAUAAAAUAAAAAAGAAAAAGAAAAUGGGAAAUGGGAAAUGGGAAAUGGGAAAUUUUACCUCAUCAAUGUCACACAUGACGACUUUCUCUACAGUUUUAUGUCUGAGUAUUUCUCUUGCUGUGGAACCUUCACCUCCUCCCAUAAUAAAAAUGGUCUUUGGACUAAAAAUCAAACACAGAUGAAGAAUUAAUUAUUAAUAAUAAUAACCAUAGAUUAAAAGAACAUAUAAAAGGAAAAUAAUAUUUACUUUGGAUGAUGAAGAAGAGCUGGAUGGACGAGAGAUUCGUGGUAGAUAAAUUCAUCUACCUCUGCACUUUGAAGCUUGCCAUCAAUUACUAAUGCCUAUGAUGAAAUUCAAAGUGACAAUUUUUAUUAUUUAAAAAGAAAAUAUCAUUAAUCUUUUUUUUAGUUAUAUUUGAUUGAUUGAUUUUAUCUAAUACCUUUCCAAAGGGUUUUGUGUCCAACAAUGCGAUGUCCUGGUAACGUGUCUCUCCUGUGUGCAAUAUGCUGCGACAAAAAAACAUUAUGAUUAGUACUAUACAUGAGAUAAGAAAGGUGUUUAACUAAGUAAUUAAAAUACUAAUUAAAAUAUAUUUUUCUCCUGUAUCUUGUCUGGCUUUUUCUGGUCAAGUACUCAAUAUUUCUCCACACAUUGAUUAUUCUUUUGAAGAAUGUUUUCUUCUUUUCAAUUAAGUAUAUCUUUCAGUCAAUAUUAUAAAUUAAAACAAGCCGAAAAUCUAAAAUUCCCAAGAAAAAAAAAAAAAGGACAGCUAGAAGCCUAGACGGCCCUAGUACUUGGUUUUUGUCUCACCCGCUAAAAAAGUUUUGCUUCUUUUUUCUUCAGCAACAAGAUUUUGUAAUAGAUUUAGUCCAUGUAUCUUGUCAUAAAUUAAUUAAAGAUAAGUUUAUUACAAAAUAAUAAAAUGAUAAACAAGCCGAAAGAAAAAGAAACUGUAAAAAUGAGAAUAUAAAUCAACUUCCAUUUCCUGAACUAAAUUUUCGUUUGAUUAUUUUUAGAGAACCACUACAGCACAAGACAAUCCGAUUCAACGCUCUCAUUCUCAUUUAGAGAAUAACCAAAAAAAAGUAAAAAGAUAUUGUAAUGAGAAUUUAUUAGUUUUCAAAAAAGAGUCAGGGACGUUGUAGCAAAAAGCAAUGCAUUAAUGCAGAGAUAUACCCUUAUUUUAUUUUAUUUUUAAUGAAAGAAGCAACAUAUAUAUGGGGAAAAUAUUCUUGAUCUGAUUCAAUUUGCAUGUAUACCUGUUAAGUGCAAAACUCCAUCUCAAGUUUUCUUCAAUCUCUUCUUCAUACCAGCAGCUCUUUCGAUAACCUGUGAGUGCAACAUUCUUCGCAUCAGCUCCAUUAGCUUGGCUAAUUCCAUUAGAGCAAGAAAUUUCACCCAUUUUAUCUUUUUUAGUAAGAGCUCAAACUUUAAGUAAGUGCCUCAAACAAGAAAAAGAGAGCUAAAGUUAUAUAGAAAUUAGAAGAGUAAGUUGGCAAUUUAAAUAGGAAGGUGGUAGCCGGCAGUGAAAUCGAAAAAGAAUAAUCAUAAUGACGUUUUGGUAUGGCAACUAGAGUUAUGAGUGAAAUCUAUCGAAGUUGAUAGAGUGCUUACUGCUUAGGAGUCAAAAAAAGAGCCAAAAAAUCUUCAUAGAAUUUCGAAAAGAAAAAAUUAAAAAAUUACCAAAGACAUUGUGGGGAUUUCUUAGGAUGAUUUGGUCGCGUGGGUUAACAAUUACAUUCUGUGUCGUCUUCUAGACUCCAUCCUUUUAUCCAAUAAAUAAUAAUAUUUCGGUUUAUAAUUUUCUUCAAAUUCGUGAUGCUCUUUGCCAUGUGCAUGCGCAGGAUUGAUUUUACGUGUAUGAAUUGGUAGAGAUGAAAAAAUGAAAAAAAAAAAUUGCCCUAGAAAUUCAUUGUACGGAGCCCAAUGGGAGUUGGACAUGUAGGAUUUAUCCAUGUGGCCAAGUUUGGACAAAAGAUGGCAUGCAUAUAAUGAUGAUGAUGAUUCACUAUUAGUGUAUUAAUUAACUUUAAAAAAUAAAAACUAAAAAGGACUUUUGGUCGAGCGAAAAGAAUGAGCGGUGAUGAUUAUUGUGGAGUAGUAAAUUACCAAAAAUUAUGAAAUAACCUUAAAUUUAGGCCAAUUAAUGAAAAUAGAUAAUUUAUCAUGUUUUCAAAUUAUACUAAUAAAAGAACAACAUUUUAGAUAUAAAUGUCCACUAUGCAGUCGAUAAAUAAUCAAUGAGCAAGCGACAUAUAAAUAAUUAACUACGUAUUAAUCAUUUGUCUAACGUAGCAGAUCAUUUGAGAGCUUUUGUUAUAUCUAUUUAUAUUUGAAAUGCUCACUUGUUGCAAUCUACGUGAAAAAAAAAAGUAGGUUUUUUUCUUAAAAAAAUUGACCAUAAUUUGGAUUUGUACUGCUUAUAAAAAUUUCCCAAUAUUCCGGUUAUCGUUAUUAUUAUUUUUCAGAGAUGUGUGCAAAUCUUCGUUUAUCUUGGUAAAAGAGAGAGAAGGAAAGAGCGUGCAGUGAAACCAUCAUCAAAUAUUCUCUUGCUUCAAAUGAUGAAUAUUAGGGCGUGCCAUACCAGGCGCACUCAUCAUCACCAUCACCAUCACCAUCAAAACAACAGCAGCAGCAUCAAGUAAUAAUCUUCUUCCUUUCAACCCCACCAUGAUAAAUAUUGAUAAAGACAAACAACAUAUAUAACUAUAGUGUGCACUAUUAAGUUGCACCCAGUUGUAAUAUCAUGCCUGGCAUGCCACGUGUCAACUUAUGAUCCCAUUUGGUAAUCUGAUGGGAACCCAAAGUGUAGCAUACGUGCUUUGUCUUUGUGAUGAGGUAAUGGCACCGUCAGCAUGAUGUGCAUUGCAAUUUGCACAAUCCCUCGGCUGAAGUGUGGACGAAAAGGUUCAAUAGUCGCUAAAGAAGAUAAAGAUGCUCCAUGCAGGCCUAAUAUUAAUUGAGUACAAAGAGAGAAAAGAAAAAAAAAACAUCCUAAUUGAGUUUUUGGAAGUGAUUUCCUUUUUCUCGAAAUACUUAUGAUGGCCCUCAGGCCCCUAAAGGUUUGAAAGAAAAAAAAAAUUGGAAAGGGAGGAAAAAUGUAGGAAAAUAAUAUUAGAGAGAAAAAGAAAUUUAGAAAAAAAAUAUUAUCAGUUAUCAUUAUUACUAAAUAUCAAUGUGAUGAACUACAUUAAUCUUGAACAUUUGAUAAAUCACUAAUCUAAAGAUUAAGUGCAUGUUUUGGUAUGAAUUAUCCAAUGACCAUAAGUAUUUAUUUAAUUUAAUAAGUUCUCUUCCAUUUUUUAUUUAUUUAUUGUUGAUUGGUUGUUUCUUAGCAGUACUUUUGAAGAUUGAAUGAGAUACUUUGCCUCUACUAGCAAAAGUUCACAUUUUGAAUUUUUAAAAAUAAAGGUUGAAAAGUCUUUUGAAAAUAUUAAAAAUUUAAAAUAUCUUCUACUUAUUUAACAAUUUUAUUUUGUUCCUUUCACAACAUAACUUAAAAAACUUGUCUAGUAAAAUAUUUUUUUUAUAAUUAUUAAUAAAAAUUUUCAUGGACAACCAAAUAAUUAAAAUAUUUGUGGUAAAAGUUAUAGUAACAAAAACUUUACUUAAAAUAUGGAUAAUGAAGCAUGUGAAAAAUUGUUAGUGAUACUGGUUUACAAGCAAAACAGAGUACUGAGCAGAGCAUAGAAGCAUCUUAAUAAUAUGACUGGUUGUAGUUGAUUACCUCAUUAAGCUGACUUGGCAAGUUAGUUAUACAACUCACCUCAUAUGAAUCAAAUGUCAUGUGUUUAUAACAAAAUCAAUGAAUCAAUUUAGCUUGCUAUAUAUAUGUAAUGUGUACACAACUUUCAGUUAGUUAACGAGAUAAUCUUCUAUUUGCUUCCAUACAAAUUCUCUUUUCUUUUCUUUCAUUUUCUUGCACUUUCUUGCUUGCCAAACAAUUUUGUUUAGAAUUCUUUCAUGGUAUCAGAGCUGUAAAUGGCAAAUAUAACUCAAAACAACUCUUUUUUUAGCUUUGUUACACCAGUUAAGCUUGAUAAAAAAAAAUUUAUUUUGUGGCGUACGCAAGUUCUUACAUAUGUAAAAAGAAACUGUCUGGAAGGUUUCAUCAAUGGUGAUCAUGAGUUCCUGAGCAGUUUCUUAUCUCCGAGAGCAAUAAUGGAGAUGAAAUUUCAAUUGGAAACAAUUCUAGAUUUAUAAAUCCUGAGUUUGUAACUUGGAUGAAAACUGAUCAACUCCUUUUAAGCUGGAUGAUGUUAUCAAUUCAACAAAAUUUACUAUAUACUGUGAUUGAUUGUACAACCUCCAAGUAGCUUUGGGAGACUCUUACUAGUAUGUUUAUCUCUCAAUCUCAACCUCGAAUUCAAACACUUAGAAUGCAAAUCCAAACUAUUAAAAAAGAAUCAAUGUAUAUGGCUGAUUAUUUUGCUAAAAUCAAACGCAUAUCUAAUACUUUGCUUAAAGGUGUUGCUAAGGGUGGCUUGUAUAAGGUCCAAAGUUCAUUUUCUCAUUUUUUUUGCAGACCAGUCAACUCAUUUCAACUCAACCAAUUCAAAUAAACUUGAGUUUCUUUUUGCUUCUUGUUCCAUGUCACAUGUCAAUAUACUUGAUGUUGUAAACACCUCAAAACUAAGUCACAAGUUUGUCUAUUCCGCUGCUACAAUACAAUUUGUUGAUGUCAAUAUUCUUUAUAGGAAACUGAGACAUUCAAUACCUUAUAUUCUCAAAACUAUAUUAUACUAUUUUUAAUAAAAUUGAUAAUUUUCCUUUCUGUACUAUUUGUUAAUAUGGUAAAAAUCAUAUGUUGCAUUUUAACUCAGUUGAAAUUAAAACAAUAGCACUCCUACAACUGAUAUAUGCAAAUCUUUGGGGACCUUCUCACAUUUUUUCCACUAAGGGGUACAAUUACUACCUUUCUAUCCUAGAUGAUUUUAGUAGAUUUACCUGGAUAUUUCCAUUAUCUGCAAAAUCAGAUGCCCUUGAAGUCUUUUCAAAUUUUAAACUCUUUAUUGAAAAGUAUCUGCAACACCAAAUUAAAAUUGAUCAAACUGACUGAAGAGAAGAAUUUAGAAUCUUUUCUUCCUUACUCACUACCCCUUACAUACAUUUUAGAGAUCCUUGUCCCCCACAUUCAUCAUUAAAAUAGAAGAAUUGAAUGGAAACAUAGACACAUAGUUGAUAUUGGCCUAACUUUACUAGCUCAAGCUCACUUACCCCUCAAAUUCUGGUAGAAUGCAUUUCACAAGUUAUUCACUUAAUUAAUAGACUCCCCACUCUAGUAUUAAAUAACAUUUCACCUUUUCAAAAGUCGUUUAACCAAAACCUGAUUAUUCAUAUCUUAGAACCUUUGGUUGUGCCUAUUAUCCCACUCUUAGACUAUACAAUAAACACAAAUUUGAUUUUAGAACUGGUAGAUUUUUCAUCUUCAUCAUAAGGGUUAUCAAUGUCUUCACUCUUCAAGGAGAGUUUACAUUUCCAAUCAUGUUACCUUUAAUGAAAAAUCUUUUUAUUAUGUUUCUGGUUUAGAUUUUUCAUCUUCUACUAAUUGUCAGUCUACUUCUUCUAUAUCAAAGUCCUCUAUCUCUUCCUUUGUUCCUUCUUUUGUUCAUUUUUAGGUUCCUUUUGCAACACCAUCAACAAAUGUUCAUGCUGGUUCACAAUCAAGCACUACUCCACACUCUCUUAUCAAUUCUGUUUCUCCACAUUCCUCACAUUCAUCCUCACAACCAUAUUCUUUACUAUUCAAUACUUCACCAAUUCAUCAUUCACUAGUCCAUGUAUUACCUUCACCUCCAUCAACAUGCCAUGUAAUGGUAACCAUAUCAAAAGUUGGUAUCUUUAAACCUAAGAUUUAUUUGUCAGCACUGUUAGCUCAACCUUUAGAACCUACUUCAGUUUCUCAAGCAUUAUCUGAUCCUAUGUGGUUUAAAGCCAUGUAAGAAGAGUUUCAGGCUUUUCAAAACAAUCAAACCUGAGAAUUAGUCUUACAUGAUACCCCUGUUAAAGUAGUUGGAAAUAAGUGGGUGUUUAGGAUCAAAUAAACUCUUAUGGAUCUAUUUUAAGAUACAAAGCUAGAUUGAUUGCUAAAGGGUUUCAUCAAACACAUAAGAUUGAUUCUAUUUCAAGAUACAAAGCUAGAUUGGUUGCUAAAAGUUUUCAUCAGACACAUAAGGUUGAUUACAUUGAAACUUUUAGUCCAGUGGUUAAGGCCUCAACAGUCAGAGUUAUUCUUAGCUUAACAAUACUUAAUAAAUGGGUUUGUGGAUCCUAAUAAACCUUAGCACAUCUACAAAUUAAAAAAGGGCUCUAUAUAGCUUGAAGUAAGCUUCCAGGGCUUGGUUUGGAAAAUUCAAGGCUGCAAUGCUUUUUAAAUGGAAUUUUCAGCACUCAAAAUCAAAAAAUUCUCUCUUCUACAAGUGGAUCAAUGGCCAUGUGAUUAUGGUUUUAAUUUAUGUUGAUGAUAUCAUACUCAUUGGUUCUAAUUAUUAUCUAAUUUAGCAAGUCAUUCAAGACAUGCAUCAUACCUUUGCUUUAAAAGACUUGGGGGAACUUCAUUGCUUCCUAGGAAUUGAAGUGGUCAGAUUGGCAAAUGGAAUUUAUCUAUCUCAAGCCAAAUAUAUUUAUGAUAUAUUGUCUAAACAUGAUAUGGUCAACUGCAGUCCAGUGCCUACCCCUAUGUCUACUAGCCAUUAUCUCACAAAAGACUCAAGUGACAUUAUUGCAAACGUGUCUUAGUACAAAAGUAUCUUAGGUGCAUUGCAAUAUGUUACUCUUAUAAAGCCUGAAAUAGCCUAUUCAAUUAACAAAUAAAGUCAGUUUUUAUCUAGUCCACGCACACAACAUUGGGAAGCUUGUAAAAGAUUGUUGAGGUACUUGAAAGGAACUUUACACUUUGGACUGCAUUAUUACACUAGUGGAGUUAUGCAAAUACAUUGUUUCACAGAUUCUGAUUGGGCCUGUGAUCGAGAUGAUAUGAGCUAGUUUUGCAGUCUACUUAGGUCCCAAUUUAGUCUCAUGAUCCUCCAAAAAACAAUCAGUAGUUUUAAUGUCAAGUAAAAAAGCUAAAUAUAGGGCAUUAGCUCAUGCUACUUCCGAAGUCAUGUGGAUACAAUCUCUCUUUAGUGAGUUGCAAAUUCAACUUAGCAUUCCUCCAAUAAUGUGGUGUGACAAUCAAGGAGCUAUUGCAUUAGCAUAUAAUCUAGUAUAUCAUGCUAAAACCAAGGCAGUUGAGUUGGAUACACAUUUCAUUAGAGACAAAGUUACAACUAAGUGCAUUGAGGAUAGUUAUGGGCCUAGUGAAGAUUAACCAUCUAAUAUAUUCACUAAAGCUCUUACAUUUAAGUAGUUUCAUUAUUUGCGUAGUAGGCUGAAUGUCUAUCUUGGACAUUUCAUCUGGAGGGGGGAUGUUAGUGGUACUAGUUUAGAAGCAAAGCAGAGUACUAAGCAGAGUACAUAAGUAUUUGAAUAUGAUAUGACUGGUUGUAGCUAAUUAGCUCAUUAUAUGGAUAACAAAAUGAAUGAAUCAACUUAGCUUGCUAUAUAUAUGUAAUGUGUACACAACUUUCAGUUAGUUAACGAGAGAAUCUUCUAUUUGAUUCUAUACAAAUUCUCUUUCCUUUUCUUUUGUUUUCUUGUACUUUCUUGCUUGCCAAACAAUAUUACUUUAGAAUUCUUUCAAAAAUAAACAUUAAUUUUCAAUUAAAAUUAUGGAUUUAAUAAAUCUUUAAAUUUUAGGAUGGUCAAAUAUUGGGUUCACAUUUCCAAUUGUAAUUAUACAUUGAAUUUUGAGAUUUUUCUAACAAGAACGGGUGAUAACAAAUUGUCCACCAAAUACAGGAAGAGACAUAUGUAUUUUUUUUUUUUUAAUAUUGUAUAUAGAGAUGUAUGUAAUUUUUGAUAAAUAUUGCCAAACGAUCUUAUUAGAAUUACAUGACGUAGAAUAUAUAAAUUGGUUAAGUAUCACGGGCUUUAAGUAGAUAAGGCGUGCGAAAUUUUGCUGAAAUGAAGUUGAUAUAUUUUUCACAUUUCAUGCCUAACUUCACAUGCAGAAGCUCAAUUUAAUAUUAGGUUGUCUGACUGACAGCCAUUAAUUUCUCGAAUUGUGUUAACAAGAGUCAGACAUGUUUUAUUGCCAAAUUGCUAAAGAAAGCUAUAGUACCUAAUUUUCAAAUGAAGAUGAUAUAUUUUUCCUUCAUUUUUGCUUUAAAAUGAUUAAAACGUGAUUUCUCAAAAUAAAAUCAUUAAAAUGUAAGUAAUCAUGUGGCUAGUAGGCUAAGAGUCAAAGACCAUUUACAUGUCAUUUCUUUAAUGUCUGUUGAAUCGUUUUAUUUAAACUAUUUUGGGGCAUGGGCUUGUUAAAUGCUUUAAUUUCACAAAGCAUCACAUUUUGUGAAAUUAAGAAAAGGUAAAUGUGGUCUGUAGAAACCGAAAGCAGAACAGUUUCUAGAAUUUGACCGAGACUAGUUUGAGCGAAUUUUUGUUAGACUACAUAUUUUUAAAGGAAAAGGAUUAAGGGACACAAAUUUUAUACAUAAAUUUAGAGGUAAAUUGAAAGCCUUAUAUUAAAACAAAAUGAAGGAAUGAGAUACAAUGAAUUAAUUAGAUAAUAUAGCACAUUCAUUUCAACACACGUUACUGUUAUAAUAUUUGUUUUUCUCUAUCCUCUUUCAUUAGUUCUUCUUCUUCUUCUUUUUUAUUCUUUUAAAAUUUCCUCCAUUGUAUUCUCUCUGUUUUUAUGAAGAAUACAACUCUAUUUCUUAUCUAUUUUUUCUUGUCUCGCAUUCCCCUCAAUUUUUUUGAGUUUUUCUUAGCCUAAAGUUUUGAAAAGCUUUUCAUUUGCGCAAAGCAUAUUAAGAUGAGAAAAAAAAACAUCUAAUUUAUGGUUGAAGUAAGUGACUUUCAACUUUGAAUUAACCACUAAUCAUAAUUAAUUUAGCAAUACCUUUUCAAUUGGUCUUUAGUAGAGUUUUGUGUUUAUAGUAUAUACCCGAAAUUAUAUAUGAUUAAUUGGUCUUUAGCAGCCGCUACCAACACCCACAAAAAACCUGAACCAUCAAUACUUCUAACAAGUUCCAGCUAAGGAGGGAGUUUCCUUCUUUGGUUGGCCUUCUUCUCUAUCUUUUGUUUGCUUUUUUAUUUUUACUUCUGCUUCUUAAGAUGUUUCCAAUGACCUUUUGAGGCAUUGUUCUCUUGUUCAGAUUGGGAGAAUACAUUUAUGUUGGUAUAGUUUGCAGCCUAUUAGGUUAUUCUCAUAUGAAACUUUCUCAUUUCCAAUGUGGGUUGAUUUAAAAUUCUGGUUAAUAUGACUUAUAGAUUAAGUUUUCUUUCUUUAAAAAAAAAAAGAAAUUAUUUCUUACUAUAAAUUAAAUUGACUAUCUAAACUCCACAAAAUUUUCACUCACAUAAAUUUAGUUGUUGUCGAAACUUCUAUGAUUUAAAAAAUAAGGCUACUUUUUUUUCCAAAAUAAAAAAUAAGAUUAGUUAUGUGACAUAUAAAUUUAUGACAGGCUAUGACUUACAUAUGCCAUUCCAAAUUGGUUAUUUAAAAGAUGGAUAAAUACUCAUUUAAUCUCUACAUUUUGACUUAAGUGUCUGUUUGGUCCAUAUAUUUUUAAAAAGUCUCACAAUACUAUGCAGUUAAAUAUGUUACAUUCUUUUAAGGUUGGCAAAAAAGCUUGGGUCGGCCAAGUCCGGCCCAGUCCAGGCCCGCAUGGGUUGGCCUAGACUUUUUUAAUUUAUAAAUAAAAAAUAAAUUUAAUUUAAAUAAAAAAUAAGAAAAAAACUCAAUAUGCUAAAUUAGUUUAAUUUUUUAUAUUAAUAUUUGUUAUUUAUUAGGUCUGCUGUACGGUGAUUAAUGAAAAAACCUAGGCCCGGCCUGAGCCCAGGCUAGUUUUGGACAUGCUUUUGAAGGGCAAAGCCCAAACCCACAAAUUGCCAACCCUAUAUUCUUUCCCUUAAUUUUUAUUUACUUUUAUAAUAAUACAAUUUGCAACAAUAUUUUUAACAUUAAUUAAUUUAUCAAUAGAAAAUUUAAUUAGAAAGUUAACUAAUAAAAUUUUAUUAACAAAUUAACCAAUAAGUAUGAGUAUGAAAGAACUAUAUUUUUUGUACUCCUCCAACAAUCUUGCUAAACAUAUUUGUAAAUAAAUUUAAUAUUAGCCAACUUCCAAUGUUUAAAAUCCUUGCAACAAUCUUAUUAACAAUUAUUUAUAAAAAAAUCAAUUUACCAAAUAAAUCUGAAAAAGUAAAAUAAUAACAUAAUUUACAAUUAAGAUCCAAUAAAUUAAAAACAUAAUAAUAAUAAUAAUAAUAAUAAUAAUAAUAAUAAUUCUUCUUCUUCUUCUUCUUCUCACCUGCAAGCCACAAUUAAUCCAAUAAUUCUCACCCAACAACCUGAAGAAAAAGUUUCAAACCAACCCUAUGAGAGUGAGGUCAACAAUAAUUGAUGUCAAACUUAAGAAAAGGUGAUGGAAAAAAAUUAAUAAAUAUCUGAAAACAUCUCACCAAAUUCUAUAAAACUUAAUUCGAUGGAAUUAAGAAAAUGGCCCUAGAAUGGAGUUGAAAGAUUUGGAGAGAUGGAUAAUACAAAAGAAGAGGAGAUGAAUUCAUCCAUUGUGCUUAAUACUGGUGGCUUUUAUUUAUUAUUUGUUUGUUUGUUUAUUUAUUAUUCUAUUAAUGGAUAUGAUUAUGUGGUUGAUCGAGAGAUUUGUAAGAGAGAAUGGUGAAUGUGGGGUUAGGGUAUGCAAAUCUUUUGUAUUAAAAAUUUUACUUUGGUGGCAUGUAGUAAUUAAGUGGACCAAACAAUUACUAGAGAUAAUAUAAGAUAUUCAAAUAAAAAAAUCAAUCAAUCAAUUUAUUUAUUCUAGAGAUAAUAUAAUAUAUUCAAAUUAAAAAAAAUCAAUCAAUCAAUUUAUUUAUCCUAAGUUAGUUAUUUCAUAUUGAUAAAUAUGUAAAAUUAUUAGCAUAUGAUUCCAUAAAUGGAAAACAAAACUUCUUGUCAUAUUAAUGCAAAUUUGAAGUUUGUUAUAAUUGAAAAACGAUAAUAUAUAAUACCUACUAUGUGAUUACUAGAUUGUUUAAGUACUCUCUAGCCUAAAUUAAUUAAUAGAACAUCCUUAACAUGAAUUUUAAAUUUAAAUUAAUAAGCUAAAAAGAGAUGAAAAAUGUUAUUGACACAAAACAAUGAAGCUAUAUUAGUUUUAAUAAUUCGUAGUUAAGCUACGUUUCAAAAUAUAAAUAAAUUAUUGCAAUAGUUCUUAUUAUAUGUUGAUCUUAAUUAUAUGACCGUCUUAGACAAAUAGACUAAUUUAAUAAGCGAUGUUUCAACUAUAAUUAAAUGUUAAUUAGUAAUUAUCUAAUAUUUUAUAAUAUAUGCAAUCAAUUUUAACUAUGAAAUAUAUGUUCCAUGUUCCAUAAUUAUGAGUAUAAUACAAUUAUGAAAACUAUGAAACUCUAUUUAUUAAAAUUGUAACUAGAUAACUAGAUUAAUUUGAAAAUUAGCUAGUCUCCAAAUUGAUUCAACUAUAAUUAUGAUCAAUCACAGACAUUAUUUCUUUAAAUGCUUAACUAUAAAAUACCAAUUAGUUUGAUAAUCAAUCUCUAAAUUGAUUCAAUGAUAAUGAUUAAAACAAUUGAGAUUUAGACAUUAACAUAAGUUUUAAGUUUGUUUAUAAGAUUGAAUGGGAUCAUAAAUAUUAUAGAGUUUUCUUGAACUACAAUGCUAUUUCAAAGUUGAUUGAUGUUUAAUUGUAAGAUAUCAUACAUUAUAUCAAUGCCAUAAUCAAUCAAUGGUAUCUUGUAAGUUAAAUAAGGUAAUUAAAUCCUAUUGUUGCACCUAGUAAAACCUUCAGAAAAAAAAAAUCAAUCAUUUAAUAUUAUUUAAUAUAUAAUGUAUUGCAGAUUACUUCUUGGUCAAGUGGUAUGCACUUUCAUAUUUUAUUUUAUUUUUUGGAUGAGGUUUCAAAUUCUGUGUACAUUAUAAAAGUUAAUUUUACUUAAAAUUAAGUAUAUUAAUGCACACAAAAUUUGAACUUUCAUCCCAAAAAAAUAUGAAAGUGCCUACAACUUGACCAAGAAGUAAUUUGCAAUAAAUUACAUGUUAAAUAAUAUUAAAGGAUUGGUUUUAUUUUAAAUGAAGUACAUUAAUUAAUUAUUUAUUCAAUUAUCUAGUUUGUGUUUGAUUUAAAAAAAUAGUAAACUUAGGGGUAAAAAAUUAUAAUUACUUUUCUUUUAGAUGAUAUCUAAUUUUAUAUUACAUUUUCUUACUCUUAUAGCUUUGCUUAGACCAACCUUGCAAGUUAUACCGGUGAAAAAUAUUAUUAGUGCCUAUGUUGUCUGUUAAAAUUUUAUAUCCUUUGAAUAGUUUUUUCAACCGAUUCUUAAUAACAGUUAAAAGUAUUUUUCUAUUUUCGACAAAAAAAUUACAAUAAUUGAAAAUAUUACUUUAUUUUUUACUAUGUUUUUGAAAUCGUAGAAAAUAAUUAUACAUUUCGAAUGGUUAGUUUCAGUGGUUAUAAAUACCAAUGGCGCUAACAUUUUAUGCUAAAAUAAAUUUAUUAUCGACCAAUUUUGAAGUUAUUUUCAACAAUACUUUUCAUUAGAAAAACUAUAUAGCUAUUUUAGUUUUUUUCAAUGCCUUGAUUUUUAUAGUUGAAAAUUGCUCUAUUACCAACCAUUUUAACUAUUACCAACUAUUUUAACUAUUGCCAAAAAAGUUAAGUCCAAAAUGACUACUUUUAUUUUCGUGAGAGAAAAUAAAUAUUUAGCAUAGUUAUUAAGAAAAAAAAAGAUGUUUUAUUUGGCAAGAAAAAAUGAGAAAAAAUUUAGAACAAAUAAAAAUUGAUCUUAGCCAUCGAUUGUAAAUGAUGAUAGGUAUAAGUAGUCCUUAUAAGUAAUCUAUACCCAACUGCAUUUUAAAAUUUUAUCCCAAAUGAUAUAACAUGUGAUGUAUUUAGUGAUUGAAAUAUCUUUUCAAGUUCCCAGCGAAUUAAUUAUAUUAACACUCCAUCCAUUUGAUGAAUGCCACAUUAUUUAGGAAGAAAUUUGAGUUGUCUAGCACUAUUCUUAACUUAACUGUAAUUAUAAAUAGGGUCUAGCUACUAUACCCGUGGGGUUUGGUACCCCAUUCUUUUGUCUUUUUCAAAUCCACCGUUGGAUUUAACGCAAAAGUUGUAUAAUGGCUUAGAUGAGAUUAUUGGGCCAUUAACAUUAAAAGCCCUUUUUGUUCAUGCAAAAUAAGAAAAAUCAAAAGUUUUAUAAUUAUGACGUAUAAGUCCACAAUAUUUUUUUUUCCUCUAUUGAACUAGUUUUCAAAUUAAAUGACUUAUUCUUGCAUUUAUUAAUAUUUAUUUAAAUUAACAAAUUUACUUAUUAAUUAAUAAAUUAACUAAUUUAUUACAUAGUUAAACUAUGUAUAUUAUUUACUAACCAUAAUUGAUGAUAAAUAUAAAUAUGAUAUUUUUUAAUUUAACACGGCAACCAAUUUCCUCCCACCCAUAUGAGUAGGGUUCAAACCCCAUAACUUUUUUCUUUUUCAAACAAGAGAUUUUAUAUCUCAAGUAGAUGAAAUAUACAAAAUACGAAAAUAAAUUUAAUUUGAUAUUCUAUGUAGUUAAUGUUUUAUUUAUUUUUUGUAACAUAAUAUUUAAUUAACAUACUAAUAAUAAUAUUUUAAAUUACUAAUAAUAAUAAAGUGUUAGUUUAUGAAUUUGUAAAAUCAUUUUUGUUUAUUUUAGCAAUGAGUUUUGUAUUUUUGGCUGAGUUUUUGUCCUAAAAUAAAAGAAGUAAAUUUAAUUGCACACUUACAUAAAUUGAUAUUUGUUACUCCACCCCAACAGUUUAAAUAAGUCAUUAGCACACAUCCAUAUGAUUAAGAUCUUUCAUUAACUUAACUGAGAGAAGGCUAAAAAAAAUUCUAAACAAUUACUCUAUUUGAAAAUAAUUUAAAUAUUUCUUUAGUACAAAUAAACUAAAAAUAAGUAUUUUCUAUUAUUUUUUCUCUCUUGCUAACAUCGCACAUGGACAACUAUAGAAAUAGCAAUUCAGCACAUGUCUAUCAAUUAAUAAAUAAGUCAAUUAGUAUAAUUAAUUAAAUAAUUAAUUGUGUAAAAAAUGGGUUAUCAUAUUAGGAGUUUUAAAACCAAAACCAAUAUAGUUAUUAAUUAACUUGACAGCUAAAAAGAGAAAACCAAUCCAUUCAAGUUGGAUACCUAAGUAUUUGAUCCAAAUAGAUUGGAUAAUAUCCAUCCAAAAUUUUCCGAAUUUGAUUUAUCCGAUAUCCAUCCAAGAACUCGAAUAUUAUUAAUAUUUAAGUGUAUGAGACUAAAAUUGAAUAUUGUAAUUAGUAUUUAAGUUUUGUAAAUUAAAUGAAAAUCCAAAAUAACAUUGCUAAAAAUUAUUGCACCGUCGAUGACAACAUUGACGACACCAUCACUAAGAAAUAGAAGUGAGUGAACAGAAACACAAAUAAUAUAAAUUCAAAAUUCUCCAAUCUAUAUAAUGGUGGCAAUGUUGCCGGAUAAAUGGAUGUGUCGUCGAUAGAUACACCUUCUAAUGUAAACACUUAUAGCAAGACCUCAUGAUUAGACGACUUUUCAAGGUUCAUCACCUUUAACAACCAAGUUGGCGGUCUCUAAAUUGAAAAAAAGUGGUAGUGCAAUGCAACUCAUUGUGUUUUUGUGAUGUAGUUGUGGUUGCAGUUAUUUUAGAAGGGGCGUGCAACUCUACAUAUCACCAUUUUAUGGUAUUGAGACUAUCAUUGUGUAGAUCAUUCAAAUUCACGUCUAAUGAUAACCUUCAUGGCCCCUUUCAGUUAAUAAUGUCAUUGUAGGCGAAGAAGCAAUUGACACCCAGUGAUUGUCUAUAUUUUUUAAUGUAAAAUAUCUUUUUUAAUUAAUUAAAAAUAAGAUUAGGAAAAAAAUUUAAUUACCUUUUAAUAUUAAUCAUUUUAGGAACUGAAAUAAAAAAAUAAGAAUUUUUUUUAAUGUAAAACACAUUAAUUAAUUUUUAGAUUAUGAAAUUCAUAGUGAUUUAUAAUAAAAUUAAAUAUCCAUGUUUACCCAUGAAUAUAUCAAUAUUCAUAUUGGAUAAUUAUAUACCUACACAUGGAUGGAUAAUAAUUAUAUUCAACAAAAUUUUGUCAUUCCUAAUUGACAUGACUAUGAUCAAUAAAAUAAUUGUGUCAUGUUGACCAUUCAAAAAUAUUUUUUUAAUGUUAUAUUCAUUUUGGAUUUAUGGGUCACCGUUGGACAACAGCACCAUGGCCAUGACCAAUUUCUUUUUUAUUUUAAUUUGUUAGUGAAAUAGACUUUUUUUUUUAAAUUCUAGCAAUUUAUGUUAAAGGUGAAUAAAAUUGGAUUUGAAAAGGUUUAUAUCAAUCCGAUCAGAUUUGAGGUUGAUCAGGUUGAGAAAAAGGUCAUUCUAACUCAAACCGAAUUUAAAAUCUGACCCGAUCUGUUUGGAUUGGACCGGAUCAAAAUAUCGGUGUGAAAUUAGAUCAGAUCGGGUCAGGUCAAUUCACAUUAAAUAUGAGGUCAAUUCACAUUAAAUAUGAAAAAAGCAAAGGCAAAUUUGGAGAAGAAGCAGCAAGCUACUGGUGAGCCAAAAACAACCAAAAGAAGACCGUUGAAGUGUCAAAAACACCCAAAAGAAGUCCAAAGCCUGGUGGCAGCAACUAGUUUUCUUGUUUUCCAUGUUUCUCACAACCUCGUGAGAAUAAUUAAAUUAAGUUCAAAUUAUAUUUAUACCAGUACCUAUAGAAAUCCUUCAACAUUUUAGCAGCUUAUUUUGUAUAAAAAGCCUUCCAUUUCCGAUUGACUUCAUCCACAAUCACUAAAUAUGGAGAAUUAACAUAAUUUUUGAGGAAUCAUACAAUUAUUUUUUAAAGUUUUGCUCAAUGGACUUCUACCAAUAAAAAGUACACACUAGAAAAAAUAUGGGUUGGAGCUUCGGGGAACUUGGCGAGGCGGAGAAUCCUAUAGAAGCGGUUGCGGUGGUUGGUGAUUCGAGUGGCAACAACAGUCAUGGUGCAACAGAUCCGGUCGGAAAGUCACGGGCUUGCAAUGGCUUCGCGCAAUUGUCAGUGAUUGCCAGUUGCAUCUGUAUUUGCAUCUACCUUCUGUUGUGCCGUCAGUGGCCUUCGAUCUGUGUUUCGUGUGUUGCCAGCUGCUGCUGCUGCAUGUCUGUGAUUGUGUGGUGGGACUGCUGUUGUUGUUGUGUUGUGUGUGAAGAGAAGAAUAUAGUGAGAUUGAGUUGGAUCAAUUAGAAUUAGGUUUUUUUUUUUUUUUCACUUAACUUUUCUUUUGGUCCAAUGAAAUCUAGAUAACUAUCCAAUUAGGUUGAGUAAAUAAUCUGAUUCGAAUUCUUUUUUUGGAUCGAAUCAAGUGGGAUCGGGUUUGAUCAAGUUAUUUCUCCCUUAUAAUAUGCAUUGGCUUCUCUACAUAUAUUGUAAAUUGUAGGUGUAGGACUAAUAUGUGAAAAUUUAAAAGUUUUUAGUUUUUUUGUUUUUAUAAUAAAUUACAGGACUCCAUUAUAGUUGACUUUAAAAAAAGACAAAAAAGGGUACCAAACCCCAGUUGCAAAGUAGUUUUGCCCUUAUAAAUAUCUAUAGUAGAUAAGUGAUUAACUAUAUGAAUAAAAAAUACAUAUAUUUUCAUUUCAUCUUUUGGCUUUGAUUAAGGGGCUUGUCUACCCUUGACUCACUGUCUUUUUUCCUUUUUACUUUCAUAAAUUUUGUUUAUGUUUUAUAUAUUGACACUUCUUUUAUUAAAAUGAAAAUCAAUCUAGUUGACAAAAAAAGGAUAAAUUAUAAUAUAUAUUUUUUGUCUUUUAGUUUUUUUUUAAUCUUUCAGUGCAUGAUUUAUCUUGAAAAUUAUAAUAUUUCAUAUUUCACAUGAUAAAUGUUAUGUAAUCAUAUACUAGCUCACUUAAUUCUUUGGACGCAUGUGAAAAUAGUAGAAAAAAAUAAAUCUUAUACUGCCCAGAUUGUACAGAAAAUAUUGUUUUGUCUGUUGAACACGUGGCCGGUCAAUAUGUUUCCAGUAUAUGGUCCAACUUUUUCAACACUUCAAUACGUGGCUGUUUAAUAUAUUUCCAGCAUAUGGUCCUGCCAUGUUUUGACAGCUAACAAUGGUUGUGGCAAAUUCUCAAUGAUUAAUCUUUGAUGGAGAGAUGAAAUAAAGCGAGAUGUUGAGAUGGUUUUGGUCCCUGCAGCUUGUAAUAAAAAAGAAACUACACCAUCACGGUUGAUUACUAAAGCUACAGAAGCAUCAAAAUCGGAAAUCAAAGAGUUGUAAAGAAUACAUCAAUGGCUGGAGGUUAGAUUCUCAAACUUCCGCAUUUAGUUUUUAAAGCAUGUUUUGUAUUAUUCGGAAAUAUGCUUACAGUUGGUAUCAGAGCAUGUUUUACCUCUGUCUUAAUGUGUUAUGUUUUUAGUGAUAAAUGCAAAAAUAUCCGAAUUUAUUUUGUAAAUUUAAAGUCAUGUUUUUUACAUAUUAUUAUAAUUAUAAUUGUUUUAAAUCAUUAGGAAAUGGAUUCCUGAUAGUUAUAUGGUUUGAAACAUUUAAUUUGGUAUUGGUAAAUCAUAAAUAAAGUUGGGUUUGUAAAACGGGUCAUUCGGGUUCAAAUAUGAAUAGUAAAACGAUUUUUCCCACAAGAAUUUAUAUUAUAUUUGUAUGUUUAAUUAGGAUGAAAUAUCAAACUAUUUUGUUAAUGUAUCCACAGGAAUUAAAAAUUGGAAUAUGGUUUGAUAGUUUUAUCAUAAAGAUAUAUGUGAAUCUACUUGAAUUAAAACUUUAGCCCACAUGCAAGUUUUAUGUCAUUUUAUUCAUAUUUUUGUAACAUGAUUUACAUUAGUAAAACAUGAUAUCUCUAUAUUGGCCUAAAUUUAUAAUAUAAGCAUGUGUUUUAAUCUAAUGCAGUUGUACAACCUGCGAGUUUUUUUGAAAUUAAGUGUGAUAUUCCCGAGUUAAAUGGUGAUAAUUAUAAAGUUUGGAAGGAGAGAAUUCUUCUUCAUUUAGGGUGGACGGAUAUUGAUUAUGCUAUUCGGAAAGACGAACCACUUAUUGAUGAUAACAACAUUGAAGUUGAUAUUGCUCUUUAUGACAAAUGGGAGCGAUCUAAUCGCCUCCGUGUGAUGUUCAUAAAGACUAAAAUCUCUGCUGCUAUUCAUGGUUCGGUCGAUCAACAUAAUGAUAUCCGGGCAUUACUGAAGACAAUUGAUGAACAAUUUAUGACUUCAGAUAAGGCACUUGCAAGUACCCUAAUAAUGAAGUUCUCAUCUAUGAAGCUCACUAAUGUUAGAGGUGUGCGUGAGCACAUCUUGCAGAUGAGGGACAUUGCAGCUCAGUUAAGACUUCUUGAGGUUGAUAUGUCUGAAACCUUUCGUGUGCAUUACAUACUGAAUAUACUUCCACAGUAGUAUGAACCCUUCAAAAUUUCAUAUAACACACAUAAGGAUAAAUGGUCAAUUAAUGAAUUAAUGAUCAUGUGUGUUCAAGAGGAAGGGAGGCUAAUAAUGGAAGUUGGUGAAGGUGCAUACAUUGUAAUACAAGGAAAGAACAAGUUUUAAGCCAAGAAGAAAGGGAAAGGUAAAAUACCUCCCCAAGAAGAAAUUAAAAAACAAUCCAAGUUUUUUUUUCUGUAAAAAGAAAAGACACAUGAAGAAAAAUUGUCCAAAAUUUCAAAAAUGGCUUGAGAAUAAAGGUAAAUAAAUCUCUUUUGUUUGUUAUGAAUCUAAUAUGGUUGAUGUUAAUCAUAAGACAUGGUGGAUUGACUCUGGUUCUACAAUCCAUGUAACAAAUACCUUGCAGGGUUUGCAAAACCUAAGGAAGCCAUUGAGAAAUGAACAGUGCAUUUAUUCUGGAAACAAGAUGCGUUCACAUGUGGAGGCAAUCGGAACAUGCAGUUUGAUUUUGAGCAGUGGUUUUGUUUUAAAUUUGGAAAAGACAUUUUAUAUUCCUAGUUUUUCUAAAAAUUUGGUUUCAGUUUCAAGGCUUGUACCACUCGAUUUUUCCUUUAAUAUUUUAAAUAAGUUUUGUAAUAUAUAUUAUAAUUCUGAACUUGUUGAGAAUGGUGCAUUAUCUUAUGGACUUUUUCGUUUUAAUUUGCAAAACAAUGCCUCUUACACUUCAAUGCAUGUUAACGCUGGUAUUAAACAGUGUGUUAUAAAUGAAAAUUCCUCUAUUUUGUGGCAUCAGAUACUUGGUCAUAUCUCCAUAGAAAGAAUCAAAAGAUCAGUAAAUGAUGGAGUACUUGAUACUUUAGAUUUUACUGAUUUUGAUACUUGUGUGGACUGCAUAAAGGGAAACCUGACCAACAAGAGAAAUAAAGGUGCUCAGAGGAGUUCAGAAAUAUUAGAAAUCAUACAUUCAGAUAUUUGUAGUCCAGACAUGGACUCAUAUAGUCAGAAAUACUUUAUCUCUUUUAUAAAUGAUUACUCACGAUACAUGUAUCUCUAUUUACUUAAUCAUAAAAGUGAAGCAUUAGAUGCUUUUACGGUAUUUAAAGCAGAAUGAGAGAAAUAAUGUGUAAAGCAAAUUAAGAUCGUGAGAACUGAUAGAGGUGGGAAAUAUUAUGGUAGAUACACAGAGAAUGGGCAAGCACCUGGUCCAUUUGCGAAGUUUCUUCAACAGCGUGUGAUUGUUGCCCAAUACACUAUGUCUGGUUCUCCAGACCAGAAUGGUGUAGCAGAAAGAAGAAAUCAAACUUUACUAGGCAUGGUGCGCAGUAUGCUUAUUGCUUCUAAACUUCCUAAAUUCUUGUGGACUGAAGCUCUCAAGAUGGCUGCGUAUAUAUUAAACCGAGUUCCAACCAAGGCGGUCUCUAAAACGCCAUUUAAGUUAUGGAAAGGUUGGAAACCGAGUUUGCGACAUAUACGUGUUUGGGGAUGCUCGUCUGAAGUGAGAAUUUAUAAUCCACAAAAAAAGAAGUUGGACCUAAGGACCAUUAGUAGGUAUUUCGUUGGAUAUGCUGAAAGGUCUAAAGAAUUUUGUGGCAUCAGAUACUUGGUCAUAUCUCCAUAGAAAGAAUCAAAAGAUCAGUAAAUGAUGGAGUACUUGAUACUUUAGAUUUUACUGAUUUUGAUACUUGUGUGGACUGCAUAAAGGGAAACCUGACCAACAAGAGAAAUAAAGGUGCUCAGAGGAGUUCAGAAAUAUUAGAAAUCAUACAUUCAGAUAUUUGUAGUCCAGACAUGGACUCAUAUAGUCAGAAAUACUUUAUCUCUUUUAUAAAUGAUUACUCACGAUACAUGUAUCUCUAUUUACUUAAUCAUAAAAGUGAAGCAUUAGAUGCUUUUACGGUAUUUAAAGCAGAAUGAGAGAAAUAAUGUGUAAAGCAAAUUAAGAUCGUGAGAACUGAUAGAGGUGGGAAAUAUUAUGGUAGAUACACAGAGAAUGGGCAAGCACCUGGUCCAUUUGCGAAGUUUCUUCAACAGCGUGUGAUUGUUGCCCAAUACACUAUGUCUGGUUCUCCAGACCAGAAUGGUGUAGCAGAAAGAAGAAAUCAAACUUUACUAGGCAUGGUGCGCAGUAUGCUUAUUGCUUCUAAACUUCCUAAAUUCUUGUGGACUGAAGCUCUCAAGAUGGCUGCGUAUAUAUUAAACCGAGUUCCAACCAAGGCGGUCUCUAAAACGCCAUUUAAGUUAUGGAAAGGUUGGAAACCGAGUUUGCGACAUAUACGUGUUUGGGGAUGCUCGUCUGAAGUGAGAAUUUAUAAUCCACAAAAAAAGAAGUUGGACCUAAGGACCAUUAGUAGGUAUUUCGUUGGAUAUGCUGAAAGGUCUAAAGAGUACAGAUUUUACUAUCCAUCUCAUAGCACUAGAAUUGUGGAAUCAAGAAAUGCAAAAUUUCUUAAAAAUAACUUGAUCAGUGAGAGCGAUCAAUCUCAGAAUAUUAUUUCUGAGAAAGAUCAUUCAGAUGCUCAACUUUCCACUUCAAGUGAUAUAUUGAGUGUUAUUCACAACACUUCUCAAGUUCAAACAAGUGUUGUGCAACCAAUUGUUGAAGUUCCACAAGUUGUUGAUAAUAAUCCAGUAGAUUAGGCUACUCAGGAAUUACCUGAAACCCUUGAGCAACCAAUUGAACAACAUACUCCUCAGGAGAAUGUUGGUCCAACAUUAAGAAGAUCUACUAGAAUAAAGAAACCAGCAAUUUCUAGUGAUUAUAAAAUGUAUCUACAAGAAUCUGACUAUAAUAUUGGAGCAAAAAAUGAUCCUGAAUCUGUUUCACAAGCCAUGAAUUCUAAAGAAUCAUAUUUAUGGUAUAAUGCCAUGAAUGAAGAGAUGAGUUAUAUUUCAUCCAACGGAGUCUGGGAUCUUGUUGAGUUACCUGAUGGUGUAAAAGCCAUAGGAUGUAAAUGGGUCUUUAAGACAAAGAAAGACUCAUUAGGUAACAUUGAAAGAUAUAAAGUAAGACUCGUUGCUAAAUGAUUCACUCAUAUAGAAGGAAUCAAUUACAAGGAGACUUUUUCUCAUGUAUCAAAGAAAGAUUUUUUUGGUAUCAUUAUGGCAUUAGUUACUAAUUUUGAUUUGGAACUGCAUCAAAUGGAUGUGAAAACAACCUUUCUUAAUGGAGAUCUAGAGGAAGAGGUUUAUAUGAAACAACCAGAAGGAUUUUCCUCUAGUGAUGGUGAAAAUUUGGUGUGCAAGUUUAAGAAAUCCAUAUAUGGAUUGAAACAAGCCUCCCGUAAGUGGUAUUUAAAAUUCCAUGAUGUUAUCUUUUCAUUUGGAUUUGUGGAGAAUCUUAUGGAUCAAUGUAUAUGCCAAAAGGUCAGUGAGAGUAAGAUUUGUUUCUUUAUUCUAUAUGUGGAUGAUAUUCUACUUGCAUCCAAUAAUAAAGGAUUCAUUUGUAAAGUAAAACAAUUUCUCUCUGAGAAUUUUGACAUGAAGGAUAUGGGUGAUGCAUCUUAUGUCAUAGGCAUUAAGAUCCAUAGAGACAGAUUUCGAGGAAUUUUGGGCUUGUCUCAAGAAACUUAUGUCAAUAAUAAGAUCUUGGAGAGAUUUCAGAUGAAAAAUUGUUCACUUAGUAUAGUUCCCAUUGUGAAGGGUGACAGGUUCAAUUUGAACCAAUGCCCCAACAAUGAUUUUGAAAGGGAACGAAUGAAAAAUAUUCCAUAUACAUCUGCUGUUGGAAGCUUGAUGUAUGCUCACGUCUGUACAAGACAUGACAUAGCAUUUGCUGUUAGCAUCUUGGGAAGAUAUCAGAGUAAUCCAGGUUUAGACCACUGGAAAGCUGCAAAGAAAGUAAUGAGGUACCUUCAAGGGACUAAGGAUUACAUGCUUAUGUUUAGACGAACUGAUAAUUUGGAAGUAAUUGGCUACUCCGAUUCAGACUUUGCUAGCUGUGUUGAUUCACGAAAAUCAACAUCUGAAUAUAUUUUUAUGCUCGCCAGUGGAGCUAUAUCUUGGAGAAGUACAAAGCAAACUUUGACUGCUACUUCCACUAUGGAGGUUGAGUUCGUUUCUUGUUUUAAGGCUACCUCGCAUGGUGUAUGGUUGAAGAGUUUCAUAUCUAGGCUUAUAAUUGUGGAUUCAAUCUCAAGGCCAUUAAGGAUAUAUUGUGACAAUUUAGUUGCAGUUUUCAUGGCUAAAAAUAACAAAAGCAAAAGUCGAAGUAAACAAAUCGACAUUAAAUAUUUAGCCAUAAGGGAACGUGUUAAAGAGAAGAAAGUGGUCAUUGAACAUGUUAACACUGAAUUGAUGAUUGCUGAUCCUUUAAUAAAAGGCAUGCCACCACAGAAGUUUAAGAAUCAUGUAGACCGAAUGGGACUUGGUUCCAUCAUAUAAUUUUCAUUGUAUAUACAAUGUAAUAUAAAUGAGACUCUUUGUUUUAUUUAUUGUGAUCUUUUUUCAUCUUUAUGUGCACAUUCAAUUAUAUUGAGAAAAUAUCAAUUUUAUUGGACCAAGAAUAAACAUGGGGUUUAUUCAUUAAGUUAAGUAUACAUACAUGGCUAGUAUUUAAAGAAUAAUACAUUGUGAUACAUGGAAGAUAAUACUCGUUUAUAGAGGACCUAUCGCCAUGAUUCAUGUAUUAUCCUUUUAAAUCUAAAUAAUUGAAUGUCAUAUUGAUUGAAAUGUAUGAACCAAGUGGGAGAAUGUUGAACACGUGGCCGGUCAAUAUGUUUCCAGCAUAUGGUCCAAAUUUUUCAACACUUCAAUACGUGGCUGUUUAAUAUAUUUCCAGCAUAUGGUCCUGCCAUGUUUUGACAGCUAACAGCAGCUGUGGCAAAUUCUCAAUGAUUUAUCUUUGAUGGAGAGAUGAAAUAUAUUGAGAUGUUAAGAUGGUUUUGGUCCCUGCAGCUUGUAAUAAAAAAGAAACUACACCAUCACGAUUGAUUACUGAAGCUACAUAAGUAUCAAAAUCGGAAAUCAAAGAGUUGUAAAGAAUACAUCAAUGGCUAGAGGUUCGAUUCUCAAACUUCCGCAUUUAAUUUUUAAAACAUGUUUUGUAUUAUUCGGAAAUAAGCUUACAUUGUCUACCAUAUAUUUCACCGUCUGGGGUACGUUUGAAAGUGAAAUAGAGUUCUAUAAAUGACGAGACGUAGAAAGUGAAAGGGUUAUGGACUCAAAUUGAUGAGACGAUUGUUUUGGGCACAUCGACUUGAACUCUCAUAAUAUCUGAACUCAAUAAACUUUUUUCUUACUAGAUAUAAAUUUCGUUAUGUUGUGUAUAAAUAUAUGACGUGAAAAAUGACAAUAUUUAUUUUCGUCGGAUUAGUUAGUUCUUCAAAAUAGAAAAAAAAAGAUGGAUACACAUCGUAGAGUGAAUAAAUUUGCGUCUUAUAAUUACUAUUGACAUUUUUGAUCACCAAUAAAAUAUUUGUGAGUAAAUUAUAUUUCAUUUCCAACGUAAACAAUUAAGCAUAUGCUUGAGAAAGAAAAUUAUCACAAGCUGGCCAUAGACCAAAAUGCUUAUUUAAAGGAGCGCGCGAGCUUAGCUGCUCCAGCAUUCCUCUCAGAAAGAUCACAAUGGAUUCAAAAUUAAGAUUAUUGCUUUUCUUCUUCUGCUUCGUCGUUUCUAUCUUACCAAUCUCAAUUUCUAAGAAGCGCCCACUAGACUCUCUAUCCCCUGCUGAGUUCACCCUCGUUCAAACCAUUGUCAAAACCUCAUACCCUAGCAACAACCUAAGCUUCCACUACGUAGGCUUGGACGAGCCAGACAAAGCUGUUGUGUACUCAUGGCUAUCAAAUUCCAAAAUCAAAAUCCCUCGCAGAGCCAUUGUCAUUGGUUGACAAAACAACCAAACUCAUGAAAUCAUCGUAGACUUGUCGAGACGUUCGAUAGUUUCUGAUAAAGUUUACACAGGACACGGAUUCCCUUUACUCACCUUAGAAGAGCAACGCACUGGAGCUGCCCCGGUGCUGGCAUAUGAGCCGUUUAAAGCAUCAGUGAAGAAGAGGGGACUCAAUAUAUCUGAUGUGGUAUGUUCUUCUUCGACGGUUGGUGUGGCGAAAAGGAGAGUAGGGGACUCAAUAUAUCUGAUGUCCUUAGAAGAGCAACGCACUGGAGCUGCCCCGGUGCUGGCAUAUGAGCCGUUUAAAGCAUCAGUGAAGAAGAGGGGACUCAAUAUAUCUGAUGUGGUAUGUUCUUCUUCGACGGUUGGUGUGGCGAAAAGGAGAGUAAGAGAGAGCUCAAGUUCCCGUGUUUUUACACGGAUCAAGGAACUGUCAAUAUGUUUUUGAGGCCAAUCGAAGGGAUAACGAUUGUUGUUGAUAUAGAGGAGAUGAAGGUAACUCAGUACAAUGACAGGGAGGUAGCACCGAUACCAAAAUCCGAGCCCACUGAAUACAGAUGGUCGAAGCUGAAGCCGCCGUUUGGUCCACGGCUUAAUAGCGUAACCACCUUGCCAACGGGACCUGGGUUCAAGAUUGAUGGCAACACUGUCAAGUACGUCUUGUUUGAUUAAUCACUCUUUGUUUAAUUCUUAAUUAUCAAAACAUCGCUAUUAAUUGUUUCUUUUCUACACUAAUUUACUAAUUACUAGUUUUUCUGAUUGUCAUCAAAACACACAACGUGGAUUAACCAUUGUUAAUUCCUUUGACAUGGUAUUAGAGGAAAAAUCUCAUUUUUUUAUUCUCAGUAAACUCUAUUUCAAUUUUUAUUUCUUAGCUCGAGGUCUAUCUGCUUAGGUUUUUGGUCAAAAUAAUUUAUCUAAUAUGGCCCAUUAAUUAUUGAUGAUUUUCAACUUAUGUAUGUGAGUGCUGGAUAACCCAUAUAUAGACCCAUUAGCUAGCUGCAUCGGAAUUUAUUUAUUUAUUUAUUUUCAAAAUUUCAAGAAUUGAGACUUGGUAUAGGGCAAUAGAAAAAAAGAAGUUUAUUUAUUUAUUUUUAUGACCAUUCUAUUCUACGAUUCUCCACACUAGUUGAGAUUUUAGUAUUUAUAUAGGUACUGGAAAAGACUUCUGAGGGGAACGUUGCCACCAGUAAUCAAUUAGCAUGCUUCAUUUGGAUAAUGGAUAACGACAUAAUCAAGCACACGAAAAACAGUCUUUUUAUCCUAGUCUUGUUACACUAAUAACUUUGCGACAUAUCAUAUAAUCAAAUUAAAAAAAAAACACACACACAAACGUCUUUUAAUCGUUCCUUUGAAGAAUUGCUUUCUUGUGUAGAAUUUAGAAAACAUAAACUAAGACUUAGUCAAUAGUUUUUUUAAAGGAUUUAUUAUUUUUUAAUAUAAAUUUAUUUAAUUAGAAGACCUUUGAAAAGUUUAAUUACAAAACAAAGUUAAAAAAUCUGUCCACAUCCCCUCAUCAAUCCAAGCUAGUUAGGCGACUUUGCGAAUCCUCCCCAUGUCGCCUGAUCUAUUACAGUCAAUGAAAGCCACAUCUUCAUAAAACCCAUGUAAACUUAAAAUGGACUUGUAAGGAGGGCUCCCAUUGGAUUAAUAGUUUUAGCUCAUGUGGGAAUUCAAUACCGUAACAAGCAACAAAUAUGACUAAAACUGAUUGCUUGUGUGCUACUUGAUUAGAUGGGCAAAUUGGGUGUUCAACGUUGGAUUUGAUGCUCGAGUGGGUACAAUAAUUUCGACAGCUUCAAUUUACGAUGUUGAUAUGCACAAAUAUCGACGAGUUCUGUACAGAGGAUUCAUAUCAGAGCUGUUCAUACCAUAUCAGGAUCCAAGAGAGGAAUGAUAUCAUAUAACGUAUUUUGAUAAUGGUGAAUUUGGAUUUGGUCAAUCUGCAGCGCCUUUAGAGCCCCUCAAAGAUUGCCCGCCAAAUGCAGUAUUUAUAGAUGGUUAUUUCACCAGCCAAGAUGGUGCACCAAUUCAAACUCCUAACGCUAUUUGCAUUUUUGAACGUCAUACAGGCGAUGUCAUGUGGCGUCACACUGAGGCAGAAAUGCCAGGAGAUGUAAUUUUUUUUUUUUAACAAUCUAAUUUGAAUGAUUUCUAAUUUUUUAUUUUCCUUUGUGUUGCAGGUAAGAGAGGUGAGGCCGGAGGUGAGCCUAGUGGUGAGGAUGGUUGCAACUGUUGGUAACUAUGACUAUGUAAUUGACUGGGAAUUCAAACCCAGUGGAUCCAUCAAAUUGGGGGUACUUUUUUUUGCUCAAUACUCUAUGGUUCAUACUUAUUUUAUUUAAAUUAUUUUUUAACACAAUUAUUUAUAAUUAUGGGCUACUACUAAGACUGUAUAUAUCUAUGGGAAUCAUAUCAAUUUAAAUAACUUCUAUUAUUGUGCAGUUUAAAUUAAUUCAAUUCUUAUACUGUCCACAGCACUAAUAUUCCAGACAUAGUUACCUCUAUUUAAUUAGAGGGGAAAGAUUUUUCAGUCUCCUUAAGGACUCGUGCCUCUCUUCCGGUUUAUAUUCAAAAUGCAUAUAUGUCUUACCAAGAAUUGCAAAUUAAAAGCCACAACUCACAGCACCUCCAUUACAAAUGGGUUGGAAAAGUCCAAUAAUUAGUAAACUAAUAAUACUUAAUUAGUGUUCAUAUGUAAGUGCAAAGUGAGGCCAGUAGAGUACACUCAUAUAGAUCAGAUAAAAGAGGAUCAACAGGGGAAAUUGGUAGCAGAUAAUACUAUCGGGGUCAAUCACGAUCACUUCUUGAACUAUUAUCUUGAUCUUGAUAUUGAUGGUUAUGCCAAUUCCUUUGAGAAGACCAAAUUGGUUACCAGGCGAAACACAAAAGCUAAUACACCAAGAAAGAGUUAUUAGACUGUUGAAAAAGAAACAGCUAAGACUGAAUUUGAAGCUCGGCUUAAGCUUGACACAAAGCCAAUGGAAUUUGCAAUGGUGAAUCCAAAUAAGAAAACUAAAAUUGGGCACCCUGUUGGCUAUCGCCUGCUUCCAGGAUUAGUCGUAGGUCCGCUGCUAACGGAUGAUGAUUAUCCACAAAUCCGAGCCGGCUUCACUGAUUAUAAUAUUUGGGUUACCCCAUAUAACAAGUCAGAAAAAUAUUCAGGAGGAAACUAUGUUGAUCAAAGCCAUGGUGAUGAUACCUUAUUGCAAUGGACUGACGGGUAUAAUCCCAAUCUCAAACUUUUUGUAAGAUGUAAUGUUUUAAUUAGCUAGGCUAAUUCUGCAUAGCAUAACAUACAA